rnacentral:lncRNA from 1 species
GAGGGGGGUGUAUUGGGAAAAACCCAAGUCCCACAUCGGAUAGACAAGACUCUUGAGAAGAGUAUAUAAAGAGAAGGUAAUCCUCACCUUACAAGCCGGUUUUGUAAGGAUGAGUUAGGCCCCAAAUUACAACAUGGUAUCAGAGCCUCUUCACGAUUGUUUGGGCCACCUGUUAUCAGGUUUCCGUUAUCGGGCCACCCGUCAUUUAUGUUCACGCUUCAGAUGUGUAAUCCUGAGCGUGAGGGGGUGUGUUAAGAGUCCCACAUCGGUUAGGAGUUGGCCUGACAAUUUGUUUAUAAGUGGGGGCAAUCCUCACCUCACAAGCCGGUUUUGUGGGGUUGUGUUAGGCCCAACCACGAUUUCUAAUAAUCUGAAAGAAUCAAAUUUGGUUAUCCAAAAACGUAUCAGUAAAUGACACUUCAGAGUCUUUGACCCGAAAAUGAAGAAGCAGCACUAAGAACAUGGCACAAAUUAAUGCCGAUCACCGAGAAUUUUUGUUUCAACUUUAAUAUUUCAGUUUCCAGUCCACUAUAAGCAGUAUUGAGAACAGAAGUUUCGCAUUACCGUAGGAAUCGUCACUAUUAUGAAUUCGGUAGUGUCUGAAUUAUGGAAAAGAUCCCGUAUUUUUGCCACUCUCUCCUUGAGCUUUUCAAGUUUGUCUAACUACAAGUUCAAAUACAAAAUAAUUAAAAUUUUGUAAAGGUAGAAUAAUAUUAUUAUAAAAACAGAAAAGCUUACAGGAUUUCUCCAGAAAAAAAAAAAAAAAAUAGCUUACAGGAUUGUUUUGAGGCUGUUCUUUUCCCAACAAGGAUUUGAAAACUGAACCUAAUUUCAUCUUCAUCUGGACAGAGCAAUUGAUUUAGUAAAAUUCUAGUAGAGAGGAAGAUGAUCAAGCCUAGUUGAAUAUAAAGUUGAUUGUGGAUAUGAAUUAUACCUUCAUAAGUUUGCCUAUAGAUCCAUCCAAGAAGUCAGGCAAUGAUAGUAGCCGAAGUGUAUGACCCUAUUGAGAUAUUCAUAAACAAUCAUAUUUUUUUCCUAAAUUUUCAUAUACACGUUGUAAAAGAACUAAUAAUUGUUACGGACCGUUGGUGCUGUAUCAAAAACUAUCCGACUGAACAUACUAUAUUCUUCAGACUCAAGAAAUUGCAUCACCUGAAUCAAAACAGCAUAAUCAGGAAACAUAAACAAAGCACAUUUUUCAUUCUGAGCUUAAUAUCCUCAAUGCUUGUAUUUAAAAUACAUAAAAAAGGAAAUAAACAAUUCUACAUGCCUUAGCAAUUGCAAUGAUUUCAUCUGUUCCAGGUGGAGGAGUGUGCAACAGCUCUUCAAGAUUAAGGUCCCCUAACUACAGCAACGUCAUUAGCAAGAUAAGUGAAUGUUAACAACAUUUAAUCUGAAGUCAUUGCAGCACCAAACUUUUAAAACUAUGUCUAAAAUUUCAAGAAACUUGCUUCAAAGAUCUAACAAUUUCUAAUUUGUGUCUUUAGUAAUAGUCAAUAGUAGCUGAGGACCUGCCGUCAAAUGUUACUUUUAUCUUAAUAGGGGAUAAAUUUAAAUCAACAAAUCGUUUGCUACUUUCAUGAAGUGAUUAAUUGUUGGUUAGUCAUAUAAAUACAUAACUAUAAAAAGGCGCAAACAAAUAUCAGAACUGAAUACUCAUGAAGUGAUUAUUUGUUGGUUAGUCAUAUAAAUACAUAACUAUAAAAAGGCGCAAACAAAUAUCAGAACUGAAUACUAUUAUAUAGUAUAUGUUCCGACAAUAACAGAACAAACUAGAUAAAAAAAAUAAAAAAUAAUCACAUCAUAUGCAAGGUUUGAAAAACAGUCCAGGACCGUAACGUCAAUGUUUUUCAUGUUUCUGCAACUGCAUUGCUACCACAAUAUAAGGGAUCAACAACUUCUAUGCAACUGUGGUUAAAAAACCUUAAUCAUAUGCAUACAAAGCCAUAUGCACAAAUACACUCAAAAGCACUCAAAACUAAAUGUACAAACUACCUGGUCAGCAACCACUCCAAGUCCCAUGCUUUGCAUCAAACUCUUAGCACCCCCACCUCCAAGCUUUUGACCUGCUGUCCGGAAUUCUUCCAUUGAUUUAUCAGGGUUUAUCUGUCAUCAAACAAUCAAAGGUUCAAUACAAAACAAUUAAACAACAACAUGCAGUUCAGCAAAACACCAAAGAAGCAAUAUCAAACUGUUUGGUAAAAAAUAUUACCUCAAGAGCAUAUAAUGGAGAAUUCACUCCUUCAACCGGAACAAGUUUUCCCCCUGUCAAAUCCUAAUCGAAACAUAAAUUUUUAUACAACAUUCCAGCAUAACAAAACUACUGAAGAAAAAUAUCUCUAAAACCUAUAAAAAAUGGUUCGAGUUCAUAUUUUUUUUGUGGCGCAUUAAUAAUUACCUGAGCAAAAGAAUCACUUAAUGAAUGAGCAGGAUCAGUUGAAACCACCAUAGUGGGGUGUCCAUGAUUUGCAAAUUUGAUAGCAAGAGAAGCAGCACAGCUUGUUUUCCCAACACCACCUUUCCCACCAAGCAUGUAAUAUCUCCUUUCCUUGUCUCUCACCAUCUCAUCAAAUCCACAAACACUUUCUGCUACAUUUCCUAUCCGCCUUGCUGCAUUUCAAAUAUACUCAAUCACUCCCUCCAUUCCUUUCUAACCAAAUAACUGUUGCUAAUUAUUUCUCAUUUUCAGAGUUCAAAACAUUAUUUACUAUAUCGGUUUAAAUAUGAUUUUAGUCUCUACAGUUAUAGCGUUUUUUUUGUUUUGUUUUAGUCCGUGUAAGUGUAAGUGUUUUUGCUUAGAUUCAGUCCCUGCAAAUUCAAAAUCUAUUGCUUUUAGUCCUUGAGUCAGCUUAUUGGGCCACAUGGCUUGGUUUGAUUGGGUCACAUACAACGUCCAAGAUUAACAACAACAAUUUUUUAAUUUGCAAGGACUGAAUUAACCAAAAAACUUACCGUCACAAAUAAAAAAAAAAAACAAAAAAACACUAUAUUUGCAGAACUAAAAUCAUAUUUAAACCAUUAUUGUUUUAUCAAUAAUAAGCUUAACUAUUUUUUAAACAUCUGUUUGACUAAAAAAGACAUAUUUGGUAACUGUCACUUUCUCACGAGCUUAUAGCUUAUUUUUACUAGCAUAUAGUGUUUUUUGAUAAGCUAAUUCAAGUAGCUUAUAGCUUAUAAUUUUUAUCCCAAUUUUCCCCUUGUAACCUUAAUUGAAAAAAAAUAUAUAUAUUAAAUAUUAAUUAAAUAUAUCUUAUUUGUAUCAUUUCAUACUUAUAAGCUAGUUUAACCGCUAAUUCUACCAAACACUACGAAUUUAAUCAGCUAGUUUAUCCGCUAUAAACUACCAAUUCAGUUAUUAGCUAUUCUUUUUUACCGAACAGAGCCAUGGAAAAUUAGGUACAACAUAUCAAGGGUAUCACAACAACAGCAAAAAAUUAAUUUAAUCAAAAGUAAGAAAAUUCACUCAUUUCAUUGGUUUAUGCAAAAUAGACUUAAACUUCACUUAAAAGGAACUGAGUUCAUAAUUCACUUUUUCUGAAAAUACAAGUCACUGAAUUAUUCAUAACCAUAAGCAUGCAUUGAUACCCUAGAAAAUUCUGCAAUUUUCGGGAAAACUUUUCAAUAAUGAUUAUCAACAUCGUUAUGAUUUGAAAUUUGAAAUACCUUGAGAUAAAGGUGGGAGAAUGAAAGGUGUUUGAUGCAACGAAGAGGAAGUGAUGUUGCGAAGAAGCGAGGAAUUCUUUUGGGUCUUCAGAAUGUGACCAAGCAGCGCCGCCAUUGUUAGUUUACAGAAACAGAGAAUCUAUGAGAGAGAACAAAGCCACUUUUUUUUUUUUUAAAUGGGUUUAAGUUGGGGUUUAGUUUAGGGUACACAACUUCACUUGUAAAAGAAGCAUCAUCAUUUUUUUUCUUUUUAUUUUUUUUAGAGGAAAAAGAAUCAUAUCAUCAUGUUCAUCAAAUUAUCUUUAUUUUUAACCCCAAUGAUUUUUUACUUCAUUUUUAUUGGGGUGAUAUUGAUCUUUUUAUUUGAUUGGCAAAAUCAAUAAGUUAGCAUAUAUAUGGGUCUUUACUUCAUUUUUAUCCGAUUUGAUUUGGUUAGUAAAAUAAAAAUUGCAAUUCGAACCAAACUAUGCGGCUGAGUUAAAAAAUGGUUCGAAUGCAUCCGAACUAAAAGCAGUUUUUGGUUUGGAUUGGUUCGAUUUGCAGUUUUUCUAUUUGGGUCGUUCAGUUUUGAACACCCUGAGAGCAACCACAUAAAUGAGUUGGAACCACAAUCUUAAAAAAGAUUUUAGGUCAUUUUUAUAAACUGUUCAACCCUUACUUUUUCAAGUAAUGUGAGACUUCUCUCUCACACUUGCUACACAACAAUCCUCAUCUCAAGUGUGAAUUCAUCGAUUCAUCAUGCCCACUCCUCAAGAGGGAGCUUUUUCGCCUGCAUACACUUACUUGCUUGUAUCACCGUUGUCAGAGGCAUCAAUAGGACACACUUCCUGAAUAUUUUGUCAGGAACAUUUUUGACACAAAAAGUCAAUUGAAACACUAUUAUGAUACCAUUGUUAGAUCAGUUGGGGAGUCUCGGAGAUCAUCCAUAUUUAUAAGCAAUGUGAGAAUUCUACAUCACACUUGUUGCACAACAAUCUUCCCAUUAAGUGUGAAUCCAUUAAUUCAUCAUGAUUAUCCCUCAAGUAGAAGCAUUUCAUAAGCAUACUCUUACAUGCAUUGUUGUUGUCAGAGGUACCAACGAGACACGCCACCUGAACAUCUUAUCAAAAAGAUUGUCAACACACGGAGCCGGUUGAACCAUAGCUUUAAUACCAUUGUUGGAUCAUGAGGGAAGUCCAUGAGAUCAUCCACAUUGGAUUUAGAGCAAGAUAUUUUUUCCCCCUUAAACGAAAAUAAAUUAUCAAUCCGACCUUCAUUGAGUUUUAAUUAUCCUAAUGCCCUAGUUUGAUAAAGUUUUUUUUUUUGUCCUCUAAUUGUAUGUCACGCCCAUUUGAAAUGGAGUGACAUUUUAUUUUAUUAUUAUUUUGCUGUGUGUUCUGACAUUUUAAUUUUUUUUAUUUUUAUGUCACGCCAAGGGUGGAAUAAAAAUCUUACCAAUUUUAUUUUGGUUUGAGCAUUAGAUUAAUGAGUUCUUCACUUAUAAAAUGUUCAACUUCUAUUUAUGUGAUUUUUAACUCACACUUACUACACAUCAAGUGUAGUAUCUGUUCUUAUCAGUUUAAUAUCUGAUAUGUGGCUCAAUAGGUCACACGAUAUUAAAUUAUUUUUUUGAGGGGGAGAAGUCAUCACAAUAGCUUGCUAUUGAACUUCUCAAGUGUCGCUUAUGCGUUGCACUAUUGCAUAGGCUGGCGCACCCCACCAAAAAAAAUAAAAAUAAAAAAAUACUACACAUCAAGGACAUAUUCUUGCAGCAAUGAACGCAAAACUUAAUGAAAAGAUGCUUCCAAUUUUACUGGCCGUCGUUUAAGGUGGGAUAGAUCUAGGACUGACAAGAAACAAAAUGUAACAUAAAUGACUAAUUCGGAAAGGAAAAAAUUGUAAACGACCAACCGUAAAAUCAAUCAAAUUUUAAAGAUUGAAAAUAUAACUUUACCUAAAAAGAUGGAUAAAAUUCCAGCUAAAAAGAGCAUUAGUAUUCAUUUAAUAACACUACUUAAUUGAGUUGUUGCAUCAAAACUGGAAAUAGGUUAUCCAGAAACAUGUUAACAUUAACACAACCUUUAUAAAUGGUAACAACCUAUGGGCUCUAUUUUACGUAUAUAAAUGUACUUGAAAAUAUAUUCAUUACUAGACCCCGGGCCUGGGAUAGACCAUUAAUUGGCCAAUCUUCACAAUAAUCAGCUGAGAGAGAAGAUGAUAUUAAUUUUUACAGUUAAUGAAUGAUAAUUGUACUUGGAUGGAUUUUUAUUUUUUUGAAUUUACUUUAUAAAAAGCGUGAAACAUAAUUUUAUAUGCAUAAGUUGAACAUAAGUUUGGUAUCAAUGUUGUACACAAAGGGAUAUAUCAAUGUUGUGAUCCCUCAUAAUUUAAACUCACUCCAUUUAAAUUUUCAAUAUGCUUCUCUCUCCUUUUAAAUGUGUUUGGUCACAAGGGAGUCGAGAGGAUCAUCCACAACAUUGAACUCAACAACCACAAGUGAGAAAUACACCACACUUUUACCUAAAAUCUUAAGACAAUUGAUUUAUGGGUUCUUCGUUUAUAAAGUUCAAAACCUCUAAUUUUCUAAGCGGUGUGGGGCUUCUUUACUCACAUGCAUUUGCUACACAACAAUCCUCCCCUCAAAUGUGAGUCCAUCGAUUCAUCAUGCUCACCCCUCAAGUGGAAGUUCUUUCAUCAACACACACUUUCUUGCACCGUCGUUGCCACAAGCGCCAACGAAACACAUUGUCCCACCAUUGUCAAAAAGACUUUCAACACAAGGAGUCUGAUCAAACCCUUCGUCAAACCUCGGCUCUGAUGUCACUAUUAGGUUACAAGGGGAGUCCGGAGGACCGUCCACCACAUUGAGCUCAGAGCAACCACACAAGUGAGGGAGCACACAUUUACUCAAAUCUUAAGACAAUGAGUUGAUGAGUGCUUUAUAAAAUGUUCAACCUCCACUUUUCUAAAUGAUAUGAGACUUCUUUACUCACUCAGUGACAACUUUAGGUACCUAAUCCAUUUUGUGCUUCAUUACAUGAGAAAUACUAAAUUGGGCAUAACCCCUAAUAAAAAAUAUUGGGCACACAUUCACAAUUGAAAUAUAUUAAAAGAGAAAUAAUUUAGUCAGAUCACUUAAUAUCAUUUAUCAUUUUUAUCAUUUGUCUUUGUGUGUUCAAGGAGAUUUUAUAUAGUGUUGUGCCAGUGCAAGGGUUGUUAGAAUUACAUAUGGCGAGAAUUUCAAGUACCAAAUCUAUUUUGUGCUUCACAAGUGUCAUCAGACAGUGAAUACCAGAUGAUGUGAGGUAGUGGUACUAGACAUACUUUGUGCAUUAGGAUAAUGAACCAAUCUUAAGCAUCAAAUGGUCUUCGCUCUGAGGUAACUUAUGUGUUGUCUCUUACUUCGAUCAAUCAGAUCGUAAACACGGGGUGGUGUUAGAAUUUUUUAGGGGUUGGAUCCAAUUUGUGGAUCUUUUUUAAUUUUUCUUUUUCUUUUUAUUGUUUUGAUUUUACCCGUUAGGGUUGUUAAUUGAGUCAGGUUUUACGUCCCCCCAAUUUUUAUGUAAUUUUUUCUUUUUUUAAUAAUAUAUAUGAGCAAUUGACAAUAAAUAAGAGUAUGGUUCCAAUAUAGUUGAAAACUAUUUUUUUGUUGUCAUUUUGCUCUUGGCCUUUCAGAAGAAUAUAUAUUAUAUGCACUCUUGAAUAAAUAUUAUAGGAUAUAUUGUUCUCAUAUUCUCUUCCGUCUUGAAUAUAAUCAUCAAAAUAAAUCAUGUUUUGUGGUCUCAAAUACAAACAAAAUUCAACAAGGGCUGUCACAUUUAAGCCAAGAUUCUUAGAGUACCCUUUAAUUAAAUUAAAUUUUCAAGUAACACUUUUAAUAUAUAUGGAACAAAGUUCUCAUGAGGGUAUUUUAGAUAAUACGGUUACUUUUUAUAUUACUCUGAGAAAUAUAGAUGAAAUUACUUGGUUUUCUUUUCUUUUGAUGAAAUAACUUGCUUUUCUUAAAGGGUAUAUGUAAUUUUUUAUAUUUUUUUUAUAUAUGAGAUCAGAUGAAAUAUUUUGUUAUCAUUAAAAUAUUUAUGGUCAUCAUUUCUAGGCCAAUUUGAUUGCAAUUGAUGGUUUUUAUGUUUAACAGAUUAAUUUUAUUUUUCUUAAAAAACAUAUUAGUGGAUUGUAAAAGGUUUAAUAGAUUGUUUUGAUUCAUCAACUGAAUUCAAUCGAAAUCCAUCAAAUUCAUUCAUUUUGUCACCCCUAAUUCAAACUCACUUGAUCUAAAAUGCUCAUGUGUUAUUUCUUUCUUGAUGCAAUAUCACAUUUUAUCCAUGCUAAAAGCACAAAUAGAUUUCACUUGCGUCUCUUUUUUUAGUAGUUUCACUUGCGUCUCUAUCUAUCAUAUACUUUCACUUUCAUUUGAUAAUAACUCGUACGUUACUUGUUAAUUUGUUAGUAAAUUGUAGCCAACCUUUACAUUAUGAUCCAACCAAACAAAAAUUAAAAAAAAUGCUAUGCAUGCACUUUACUUAAAGUAAUGUCAUUAAUUAAAAAGAAACUUAUAACUUAGAACAUAUAUAUAUAUAUAUAUAUAUAUAUAUAUAUAUAUAACCACACAAAACAAAACCAAGAUUGCAAGCUACUCCAAAAGACCAAAAACUGAAAAAGACCACCCUCACUUCUAUGAGAUACAUGAUGUCCCACUCCUACCAGCACUCACAACCACAACAAAGACGGUUUUUAUCUCAAUACAAUCAAAACCAACUUCAUCAACAAAUUUUCAAUAUUAAUAUUCCUGAAAAGUCCCUCUCAACUUCAACACAUAACUUCUCUUUCUUUGGCACCAAGCUUGUGUCAUCAUCUUCUAACCAACAUUAUGAAGAUCAAGAAGAACCUCUUAGUCCUCCAUGUUGUUUUAACGUUGUUUCUAAUUCUAAGCGUUUCAUGUUUGGCUCUUCCAUGGAUCAUACUCAACUAGAUCAUUUAUCAUCACUUAUCUCUCCUUCUCAUAUUGAUAUUGUAAGUACUAUAUUGUCAUUCUUAAUUUAGUUAACAUCUAUGAUUAUGUAUUGAUUUGUCAUUAUAUUGUUACAUUUUACCAUGUUUGUGAGAAGGUACUAGUACAGUAUUAUGUAUCAUGGUUUUAAAUUGCGGUUGUAGUUUUUGGCUACAAUGUGACACUUUGUAUCGCGGAAAAAUGUGGUUGAUGCGGCCGCAAUUGCGAUCACAAUAUUGUUGUUGUAAAACCUCUACAAUUUCUGUCUACUAAUAAGUGCUCUAAUCUAAAGUACUUUUUCCCUUGUCCUUUUCUUUUUGUUUGCAGAGGAAAAAGAAAAUUAACGGGUUGCAAAAGAAAGAGGAACUUGAAAAAGAGGUAUUUGGAUUCAUAUAUAUUUUAUGGAAAAAUUUCAUAAUUAAUUACUACAUGAGUUUAAUCUAACCAUCAAAUAUUUUUUUUUAAUUAAGUAGAUCAAUUCCACAAUUUUUCAUAAAACUUUAAAACUAUUUGAUACUUUACUAAAUAAUUUCAAAUGAACGUAUGAUAAGUUCUUAAAAAUAUUAGUAAAUGUUGAUGGUUAUGUUACAUAACUACAAAUUUUGAUUAAUCUAAAAUUUGUGUAUUUGCUCAUUAACAUAAUAUGACAACCAUCAACACUUCAAUUAUUGAAAUUAAAUAUUGGGUUAAUAGUGUUUUACCCCCAUGUAAUAUAGGUCAUUUUCGAUUUUUCCUCCUGUAAAAUAUUUUUUUUUGAUUUCGUCCUUGUAAUUUGAAUAUUUUUGGUUUUGGACCUUCAUGAAUUUUGACUGUACAAAAUCGAAGAUAUAGCAGGGGUAAACCGAAAUUUGCUCAAAUUAACAGAGGGUAAAUUGAAAUUUGCUCAAAUUAUAAGGGGGGUAAACCUAAAUUUUCUCAAAUUACAGGGGGUGAAAUUUUUCAUGGAGGUCCAAAACCAAAAAAUCUUCAUAUUACAAGGAUGAAAUUCAAAAAAAUUAUUUUACAGGGGGAACCAAAAAUGACCUAAAUUACAGGGGGUUAAAGCACUAUUAACCCUUAAAUAUUUAUAAUGAAGUAUUAAGUGGAAUAACUCACUUUAGAGUUAGAUAUACAUAUAUAGAGGAGAGGGAUCAUGUUACUUCAAGAGUAAAUAAAUAUGAUGAAGUAUCUUUUACUUUUAUAGUAAUGUAUUAAGAUGGUAAUAAAAAGUGUCCCUCUCCUUUCCAAAAUGUUAUGACUGACUUCAUGAUCAUAUCAAUGUAUAGCUAUACUAAUUAGUCCAAACUUUGGAACUAUAAGUUUGCUAUUUUUGCCAAGGGAGAGGACAAUAAUAGUGAAUGAGAACCAUGCCCCUCAAUGGCAUAUAGCAUUAAAUUGGAAAACUUAUAUAUUAUUCCUAUAAAUAUAUUGGGGAGUUAUGCUAUAUGCCAAAAAUUCAAUGGCAUAUAGCAUUAAGACUCAACUUUAGAGAACUUCAGAAAACUAUAUGACUUGUUAAUGUAAUAAACAGGUCACUAUGCUUCAAAGGUUGUUGGACCAAGAAGAAAAAGUUCGUGAAAUAUUGGAUAUGGUGAAUAGUAGGCCAAACGGUUCAGCUAUAUCUAUUCCCAAUUUUCUUCCUUCUAAGGUAAUACAAUGUUCACCUCAUAUAUAUUUUCCCUUUACUUUAUUGUUUUCUUUCUCUAGCUAAAUUUUCAUAGUGUUAGUCACUUUUUAUUCAAAGCUUCAUAUUGGCAAGGUAAUAUAAUGUUAUAGGGAUAUGGGUUCAAUUUAUAUAGCAUAUGUAUCAUACAUGUAUGUAAGAAGACUUUUAGAACCAACCCAAAACGUUUCAUCAUCACUUAGGAGUUAGGUCCUUCAAACCAUAACUGGCAAAAAUACAAUUAUACAAAAUGGUAACAAUGUUGCAAUAAACUAGUAUUUGCUCGUCCACAAGUCCUAGUUCAACGGGCAAAAAAGUCGAUAUUGUUAGGUUGGACGUCAUGAUCAGGGUUCAAACACUGGCACCUCCACUUGUGUGUGUGAUUUUUAAUGGUUUUACCAUUUCGUCUAUUUACUAAAAAAAAAAAAAAAAAAGAUUUGCUUGAAGUAAAAUUUGAUUAUUUGUUAUGCAAUUUAUGCAGAUGAGAGAAUUGUUAGCAGAGCUAGUCAUGGUUGAGAAUGAGAUAGCAAAACUUGAAUCCCAAAUUAGCACACUUCAAACUGGUCUGAAACAUGAACAAGAAAUCACCAACGAAUCUAAGUCAAAAAUACAGAACCAAGGGAAUUUUAUGAGCAAUUCUAACAAUCGUUUAUCAACUUCAACAAUUACAAAUCCUAGUUCUAUUCAAAGAAGCAGUAGUAAUGUUCAUGAAAGGAUGGCAUUUGAAACAAAGGCAUUGCAUUUCAUAAGUAAAGCAAUCAAGGGUGAUUAUAAUCUCAAUGACUUCAGUCUUAAUGAAAAAACAGGAUUUUCUAAAAAUUCUGUUGAACAGAAAGAAAAUAGUUUUCAGGAAGAUGUUAAAUUUCAUGAAAGAAUUACUAGGAAAAAUGGAGCAGUGAAGCCUCCCUCGCCCAUGCGAGACCCGCGUCAUCCAUCACCUAAGGUAUGAAUGACGAAUUUCCCAAUUUAUUCGUGUAUGUAUGAUUCUUUUACUUAAUCAAAAUGAAAAUUAGUUCGCUUUGAAAUUUUAGUCCGUAGAUAAUAUAAUUGUGCAAUUUUGAUCUUUGGUAUUUUAAUUGCGCGAACUAUGUCCUUUGAGCAUCCAUCUUAUUGCAAUUAUCUUUCUUUAUCAUUGAGUCGUCCAAUUUCUAACAUCUAUAGCCUAUGUGGAUUGAGUUGCCAGACUGACCAAAGUUAGUCGCAACUUAGACUUGUGUGCCACAUUGACUAUUGAUUUUAAAAAUUGGACGACUCGAUGACAUAGUAACUUGAUUUGAAGUGACUGUAACAAAAUGAAUAUGUGGGACCUAAUAUUUGCAACCAAUGACUAUACUAUUUUCAGCUGAGGGAACGUAAUCUAGACAUGUCCUUGGAUCUUCCAACUAGGUCACUACUUGAUCCACUUUUAUCAGAAGAAAAUGACCUAAAGUGGCAACCAAACAAGCUAUCUGAAAGCAUCAUGAAGUGUUUGAAUUUUAUAUAUGUAAGACUACUUAGAACAUCAAGAGCAAUGGAAUUGGAGAAAUCAGGACCUGUUUCAAGAUCAUUGCAUUCUUCUUUAAGCUCAAGAAGCUUCCGGGUCGAUUUGGGAUCGACCCAGAAACCAAGUCUUAUGUUGCACAAGGAAUCAAGGCAGCAAGAUCCAUAUGGUAUCUUUGAUUCAGAAGAGUCCAUUCCUAGGGAUAUUGGUCCUUACAAGAAUUUGGUUAUGUUUACUUCAAGUUCAAUGGAUCCAAAGUUUAUAUCAAGCCCUUCGUCUAUUCCAUUACUAAGAAAGUUAAGGUAUGACAUGAAUAAUGUAAAUAUCAGGAAUUUAAAUAGUGGCUGCAGUGCGAUAUUUGAUAUUGCAGAAAAUCGCAGUCAAAUAUGACGGAUGCAACCUCAAUUUUGGUCGUGUUGUAUAAUUCUAAAUUUCUAUUGACAAGACCAAAUGCUGAGAAAUUUGCAAGUUUCACUAGAUUUUAAUAUGUUCCUUGUUGUUUAUAGGAUUUUGAUGAGCAAUCUUCAGACAGUUGAUUUGAAAGGCCUUACAAAUCAACAGAAAUUAGCAUUUUGGAUCAACUUGUACAACGCUUGUAUCAUGCAUGUAUGGUAGACAUUUCUUGUACAAAUCUAUAUUUAAAAUUUCAAUGAAUAAGAAAGAAUUAUAGGACAUGGAUCAACACUAUAUUAUAUAUAUGAUUAAUGAUUAAUGUAUUUUUUUUGUUAUAGGGAUUCAUUCAAUAUGGUGUGCCAUCCACCUCAGAAAAGUUAAUUGCAUUGAUAAACAAGGUACCUUAAAAGUCUUGAUAUAUAGAUGUUACCUGUACUGAUUGUAGCAUCUUAGGCUCUUCCAUGAUAUAAUGACAAGUGUCAUAACUCAAAAGAAGAAAACAGUUAUCAUAGCUUAGUCCUUCAAAAAAAAAAAAGUUAUCAUAGCUUAGAAAUUUAAUAAGUUUUUCGAGCGUUUGUUUCAAGUUUUCUACAUUUAUUCUUUGGAAUAACUUUUUUUUUAAUAUAAGGAUUAAGCUUUAUUUCCAAGUACUUUUGAAAAAAACAUGUUUGGUUAAAUUUUACAUUAUGACUAUAAAUUAUUUUAAGAGGGAGGUUGUUUAUAAAACAAACACUUUUAAGGUAUAAAUUUUAAUCUCUUUUAGAAUUUAAUUUUCUUUAUUUGGUACAUUUAGAAUUUAAUUUUCUAACUUGCAGAAAGAAACAAAUAAUAUUAUAAAAAAAUAUACAAAACCUUUUAAUUAAAAAAUUUUAAACUUAUUUAAUUAGAAAAAAGGUUUUUAUUUUUUUUUCCUUAGAAAAAUCAUAAAACAGAAUGUCCUUAUAAUGUUGAAUUGAAUUGCUAUUGUAUAGGCAACCCUCAACAUAGGAGGCAACAUAAUAAAUGCUCAAGCAAUAGAGCAUUUUAUUUUAAGGAAAAGAGAUGCUUCUAAUAUGAAAGAGGUAAAGCCACUUUCUACUUAGUGUUCAUUUAAAUGCAAAAACAAUUAAAAUCAUUAGCUAUCCAUAAUCUUGUUAUAUUUUUUGUAAUUAAAUCUGUAAAACAAUGUUGCAUGCUUUAGGCACAAAGGAAGGGGGAGUGGGAAGAGAAAGAAUCAGUUGUACGUGAACUCUAUGGGCUUGAAUUUGUGGAUCCAAAUGUCACAUUUGCUCUCUGUAGUGGAACUCGUUCUUCUCCAGCUGUAAGUCCAGCUCCUCACACACAAACAUACACAUUAUAAAACGACGAAUGUUGUUCACACUUCACUCAAUGCUAGGAAACACUACUAAUUUAUCAAUAUAACUUUAUCGGCAGUUAACUGUUGAUCAAUUUUAACCGGCUGCAGUUAACUGCUGAUGGACAUUUACGUCUUUUUCUGGUGUGUUUCAUCCUUGUUUAAAGUGUCAACAACAAUUUUCUUCUACAACAGUUUGCUUAUUCACAUUGCUCCUUAUAGACUAUAGUAGCAUUUCCAUUUAUAUACAAUUUAUUUUUAGCUUCAAUUUUUUUUAAAGACAAAAUUGUAUAAAGGUGUAAGAAAAUGUAUUAAUCAAUAUGCAUUGCAUUCAGGUGAGGAUAUACACAGGAGAUGGUGUGACAGCUGAACUAGAGAAAUCAAAGCUAGACUAUCUUCAAGCUUCAAUUCUUGCUACUAGCAACAAAAGAAUAGGGUUUCCAGAACUUCUCCUAAGAAACAUGCUUGAUUUUGCUGUGGAUAUUGAUUCACUUGUGGAAUGGGUGUGUAACCAGUUACCUACUUCAGGGACUCUAAGGAAAUCAAUGGUUGAAUGUUUUAGGGGUCAUGGUGGUAAUGUCAAGGCAUCAACCAUUGUUGAAAAGAUACCCUAUGACUAUGAAUUUCAAUAUUUGUUAACAAUAUAAAUAUGUUUAUGUCUUUUCUUUGUUAUUAAACUUGAGGUGUGUGUACAAAAUAUGUAUAUAGAAGGAUUUUGAGCUAUCAAGAAUUGUCCCCUUCCAUAUAUUAUAGCCAGUCUAAUUGAUUGUAGAAUGAGUCAAACUUAAAGCAAAAUUCACUCAAAUGUCAAAGCUUCAUGUGACAGGUCAUUUAUUUCGAUUAAUCAUUUUUAAUCUGUUUCACUUUUAUUUAGAUAUUCACAAUGUUUAAUAGGACCCUUUUAUUUAAUAUUUCAAAAGAAAUAGAUAGACUCUAUUUUACAGUGACAGGAUCAUGUGAAAUUUUGAUCAUACAAUUUUUUUAACUCAUACCAAAUGUUGUAAAAUGAAACAAUGCUUAUGCAUCCUGUUAGUAUUUUAUAAAUGGACAGUAAGAAUUAUUUUAGUAGAAAUAGUUGAAGUAGUAAAAAUGGAAUUGUGGAGAACUUGAAUUAUAAUAACUUGAAAUGGAGUAGUACACUUUGUAGUGUUAGAAGAUAAUUAGCUUGUGGUUUGCUCUAAAAUGGAUAGUAAGUAGCCUUUUUAUAGGCUUGACAUGUUGGUUAUAUGUUCUCUAGAGACUUCUUCUUGGGGAAAGUUUCUACACUUAUGUAUUUUACAUUAUUCUCAACAAAAAAAAAAUCUACUAGAAAUUUGUAGCAUUUUUCAACACUCCUCCUUGAUACAAAUUUUGAUAACUCCAAGCAUAGUUCGUGGUAGCUCAAAUCUUGCUCUACCCGAAUCCUCGAUUGAUGAAAUGCCAAUCAAUUCUUGUGUACCAUGCUCGAAGAUUUUUCUUAUGCCCAUUCAGAGAUUUUCAUAGUGUUAGUUCUUUUCCUCCAUUGCCUUUGGCACAUAGUUCUGGUUUUGACGCCACUGCAUAGUUUUUAGGCUCAUGUUUGGCCAUGUUGCAAGUUUCAUAUAUAUCCACCAAUGAUCUUACUCUUGUUGGAGUAGAUUCUGGAGAAGAAGUUUCUUGUCGGAGAAUAUUCUAAAAUUUACCUCCUGAAAGCAUGUAUAAAUUACUUGUCAUCUUUUCUGCUUUUAUCACCACAAGAUUAUCUUUCACCACUUUUAAGAUUCCACUUUCAUCAUGGAUCUUGCAUUAGAGUUGACCCAAUUUCUUUAGCGACAAUAAAUUCUUUUUGAACCCAUUUACAUGACUUACCCCAUGUAUUUUGCAAACAAUACCAUCAUGUAUCUUUAAUGUAAUAGUGACGACUCCAACAAUUUCAACAGUAUAGUCAUUUUAUGUGUACACAAUUCCUUAUGAGAUCAGCUAAUAAGAGAAAAAUCAAUCUCAGUGUAGAGUCAUGUGCCAAUUGCCAUGUUGCACCUGAAUCCAUUAUCCAAAUAUCGUUGAGACUUCUUCUACCUUUAGAACUAGUUAUUGCUUCGCUAUACAAGAUUUCACCAUCAUCUAAGGUGCUUCCAAUGCAUCCUUGAGAUGUUGAAACUUCAAAAGUAUUUUCUCCAUCCUUGUUAUUAUUCCACCACUCCUUUAAAUGUCCUUUCAUGCCAUGAUUUUAGCAUUUGAGAUCCUUCCUUCUACGAGAUUUUGACCUAUUAUCAUUUUGACUCCCACUGCAACCUCAUUUUGUUGAUCUGUCUCUUGUUAUCACCAAAGCCAGUUUGCAUUGAACUCUCUGACCUUUCUUACUUAUUCUUGAAUUUGGAUUCAUCUUCAAGAUUUGCAACAGCGGCAUCAUCAAAAUGAAGGGUAUCAACCACAUUAUCAUUGAUAAUGUUGACGAUGAGUUUAUCAUACAAAUCUGAUAAAAACUAAAGUAGAAGUUUAACUCUCUCACUUUCCGUUAUUCUGAAAUUUGAAGUUGUAAGUUGGAAAAAUAACGUAUUUAGGGUAUUGAUGUGAUAUGUUGUUGUCUUGGAUUCACUCAUUCGAAGAGUGUAGAGCCUUAUUUUUAAGAAUAUUCAGUUGUGAAGUAAUUUGACCUCGUUCAAUUUUACUAGAGUGCCUCGUAUCUCAUUUGUUGUCUUUUUUUCCCAAUAAUACUUGACAAUAUUGAAUCCACCAUUGCAAGGUGCAAAUUUGCAACAACAUUGUCUUCAUUUUCUUUCCACUUUUCAUCAGUCGUAUCCACAAGUUUGCCUUUUAUCACGUUUAGGCAAUUAUUUUUUCUCAAAAUUGCCCUUAUCUACAAUUUCCACAAGGAAAAAUUUCUCCCAUUGAACUUCUCUAUCUCAAAUUUCGUUGCCAUGGUUUUGCACCAAAUAUUUUUUUUUCUCAACUAGCUAGACUAGAAUAAUAAUAAUAAUAAUAAUAAUAAUUUUAUGAUAUGAAAAAUCAGACUAUGCUGCAACCACAAAGCAUACUAAGAAGGCAAAUUCUAUGGUACACCCAAUAAAUUUGGGUGUAUCGGUACACCAAAUCGUAAAAUUAAUAAUAAAUGAGUUGUUUUUUUGAAGAAAAAUAAUUAUUUUUUAUCAUUGACAACUAAGAUAAUUAAAUUUUAUAUACCAAAAGCUUCGACGAAAUAAAAUAUAAUUUUUAAGAAUUUUUAUUACUCAUAACAAUGAAUAUUGAUUAUUUUUUAUGAUAAAAUGUAAAUUUUGUAAUAUGAUCCUUAUAAACAAUGAAAUUAUUGUUUUUCUUAUGAAAUUAUGUUUUCUAAAAUAUAAAUAUUGACAAAUACCUUUUUAUUUCAUUAAAGUGAUCUUUAAUUUAUAUAUUUUAUGAAACAAGAGUACCGGUACACUCAAAAUUGUGAGUGUAUCAUAGAAGUUCCUUACUAAGAAUUUUCUAAUGAAUAUAACACCUUACCAGUUUAUUGCAGCAAAACCACAAACCAAUAGCUCUGAUACCAUUGUUGGGUAUCAGAGUAACAAAGUAUUUUCACACAACUAAAAGUAAUUGAAUACACAAUAUUUACAUAGAAAUCCCUCAAUAAAUAAGGGAAAAAACCACGAGUCUGGUAGAUAAUUGAUGAGGCAAUAAUUAGUGUUUUUAAUAUAAUAUUUGAGUCCGUUUUAUUUAUAUUUGAGUUUAUUUUAUUUAAGUUUAUUUUCUUUUUAGAAUUAUUUUACUUCAAUUGCAAGUUAUUUAAUUUCAGGAACAAAUAUUCUAAUGAUUGAGUCUUGCAGCAAAAGAGAGAGAUUUGGAGCUGAUUCGGGUUGAAAAUACGAAGAUUCGGUGCAAAAAUAUAACAUCCCCCAAGUCAGAGACUUGACAUGACCCGUGCCACUAGCCACACGGCCGUGCCAACCUUCAGGAUCACUUUUGCUGCUUUUUGCUUCCUGGGAUUAGACUUCAUUAACCAAUUUUUGCAUGUAUUCUCUUAUCAAUCAUAUAGACUCUAGUUAUUAAUCAAUAUUAUUACGUAUCACUCUAGUUACAAUAACAUUAAGAAUCGAUACUUUAAGUUAUUAUUAAACACAAAUUCAUCUCUAGAAUUUAGAGUUCAAUAUAUGGUUGAUUAUCCUAAGUCUAGAUUCUAAAAGUAUUUCCCAAUAACAAUUCAAAUCUAUAAUUUAAGCAUAAGAAAACAAGGAUAACAUCAAUAUUCAAAAACAACUAAAAUCAUAUAUUGUUAUAAUCAAAAGGAAUACAUACUAAUUUUGUCAAUUACAUCUAAUCUUAACAAAUGAGAUUUAGCUACUCAUUCUCAUGAUAACUUUGAAUAAUUGAGAAGAAAGGAAAGGAAUUGACAUCAAGUUGAUGAUUUCUCAAUAAAUAUCUACAUUUGUAUCUAUUAAUUAAAGAGUAAUUAAAAUAUUCAUUUAUUUUUUCCAUCGAUAUUCAUUAAAACAUGCAUCAUAUACCCGUGGCACAUUUUAUCGGCACAGAUACGUAUGUACGAAUUGUUUUACCAUGACAAAUAUGGACUGAGAUAUUAGUUUAUGAGUUUAUGAUGACAAUUACAAUUUGUAACAAAUAAAGCUUGAGACUGACUGCUCAAAAAAGAUAAUCUUAAGAAUGGCAGAUGUGUAAAUUAAAUACUAGUGAAAUAUGGAUUAUGGGGAUCAAAAACUCAUACCGACACCAAAACCUUCUUUCUAGUGAAAGGAACAUUUUUCAUGUUCAUCAUUAAAAGAAGAAAGAGAAAAGGAAAAGUAACAGGUACAUAACAGAAAGCGUCUAUUUUAUUUCACGGAUUAACUUCUCGUUCUUGACUACUUUCAUUCAAAUUCGUAAAAUACAUAAAAAAUAAAAAUAAAAAAAUAACAUGAAUGCAAUCACUAAAAUGAAUUUGUUAAUAUAAUAAAGUCACAAUAUCUUAAUAGCAUAAAAUAAUAAAAUGUAUAGAAAAAUGAUAAAAUGUGACUAAAAUAUCCAUGCAUCUAGGUAUUCAACAUCGACUCUUAAUUAAUUGAAUAUAUAACAAAAAAAUUGAUCUAUUAAUCUAAAUCAAAUGAACACCGAAAUAAGGUAGAAAACUAAACAACGCGCUACACUAAGAUGGCUAACAAAACCAUACUCAAAGAUGAAAUCACGGAAAAAAAAAAAAAAGGAAAGGAAACAACAAAGCAACUGAUCCUAAAGAAUAACUCAAAAUCACAUCUUUUAUAUGGAUGAAGAUUGAAAUUAGCUAAAACGUGAAGCUUCACUAAAAAAUUAGGGCGAUUCAAUGUUUUUUAAACUUCUUAAUCCUUUUAGUUUUCUAGUUUUAAAGGGCCACUUAUGUCAAUAAAAGUGAACAAGAUAGACCUUUAAUUACGUUUUUUUUUUUUUUUUUAACAAAUAUGAUCACUUUGUUGAAAAGUGUUUCCAUGAUCAUUUACCAUUGAGGUAGAAGGUUCAACAAGUGUUUAUGACACCAAACAUAUUUUUUUAUAUAUAUUUUCUUCNCCUGUUUAUGGAGUGAAGCAUAUUGAUGGAAAAGGUACAAGUGCUUAAGUUGUUGAGUGUUUUCACUCUUUCUAUCUUCAUGAAGGGACAGGUAAUCACGUCGAGGGCAUAGAGAGUGGCAGCGGCGUGAAUAUAGAAAAGCCAAGGUGGCCAAAGAGAGAGAUGAUAAGGUUAGUGAGAGUUUGUUGAGAGAGAAAGAGAAGAAAAUAAAAGAAAGAGAUAAAAAAAUCUUUGAUUUAGCUUUUUUUUUUUUAACUCUAUUGUAAAAAUUAUAAAAAAAAUAUAUUUACUCUAGCUCUAUAUUUUAUUCAAUUGAAUAAACUAUUAAUUUAUUAUCAAAAUUAUCGCUCACAUUUCAAUUUUAUCCCUAAAUUAUGUAAAUAUAUACUAUUGUCCUUAAACAUAUAACUUUUAUCCAAAUUGUUAUAGAUUGUUGUAUACUUUAAUGAUUAAAUUGACGAAUUACAUAUAAUUAAGGGAUUACUUAUUAUAUUAUAUAAUUUAUGAACUAAAUUGGAGAGACUAUGAUAAUUUAGGGGUUAAAUUAGCGGUUUGUUCUAUUUAAUUUUUUAAAUAUACAAAAAAAAAAAUCAAUAUUACAGAUAAUUGUUUUCAUGAUGAUAAUAUUUAGAAUUUAUAAAUUUAUAUUCUUAAUUUUAAAAGUAUAUCAAAUUUGUUCCAUUCUUUUCAAUAAUAAAAAAUUUGUUCCAUUAACACUGUCUAUAGACUUAUAAAAAUAAAAUAAAAAAUUGGAGAUUAUUUUGGUCUCAAUUUGUAAGAGAAAUUUAUAUAUUUUACUUAUUUAUUCCUUAAGGUGGGAUUAAUGAUCAUUUUACAAUUGUUUUAGUGUAAUUUAAACUUUAUCUUUUGAGACUACAAAGUUAAACUCUUAGUUGUAAGUUGACAACUAUAGAAAAAAUGGCNUUUGUUGAAAAGUGUUUCCAUGAUCAUUUACCAUUGAGGUAGAAGGUUCAACAAGUGUUUAUGACACCAAACAUAUUUUUUUAUAUAUAUUUUCUUCUUUUUGUUGUCAAUUCAAUCCUAAUUUUAGAGAUAAAUAUUUCAUCAAUAGGAUUAUUAAUCAAGUAAUUAAGUGAUUUUUGUUCCAAACUAUAACUAAUAAUACAUCCAUGAAUCCUAAUUUUAAAAGAGGUGAAUUUAGAUCUGCCAACUUAACAAUAAAUGACCACACAAUCAUUUUUAAAUUGAGUGUGAUAGGAAGAUGGUAAUGGUGCAUAUAUUUUACGACUUAAAGGAUUAUGUGCACAUUUUUACUAACAUAAAGAAUCAACUUAAAAUUAAAAAAACAAAAGGACUAAUAUGGUACAAACGUUAAAUUUAAAAGAUACCAUAUAAUGUAUUUAACCUAUAUUUUUAAGAGAAAUUUUUUAUUUAUGAAUUUCUUAACCAUUUAUCUGAAGGUACUAGUUAACAAGACCAUGUGUUUUUUUCUCUCCAUGAAUCAUGAUGCUGAAUGUAGCAAAGCAAUAUUUAAGCAUCACAAGCAGGGCCAUAACAUUUCCAAACACAACCCUUGCUAUUAUAGGUGUAAUUCAAUAUUCCUAUAUAAUCACGUAAUUCUUUUGAAACCCUCUUUAGUAAUUGAGGUGUGAUUAGAAAUGUGAUUGCACCUAUCUAGCAACUUGACAAACAGAACAUGUUCCAUCUUAGGGAGGCCCCAUUUCUUUAUAUAUAUUCAUGAUUUCACGUCAUUAAGCAAAUGAAUGGUCAAAUGUGACUGAUAAAUCAUCAAUAUAUACCUUCUUUGUGAAAUUUCAUUUCCAUGUUCUCACUUUCAUAAACAAGUGCAUAUAUAUGAAUUAUCAAGACCGUAUUCGCUAGCUGUACAUAAGAAUCUCACCUCUUUCUUUCAUACGAUUUUUUUUUGUUUUCAAAUUAUUGAUUUUAUUUUAUUAUUACACGUGUGCAUGCAUGUGCAUGUACACUUUGAUUAUAUAUACUUCAAUUUGGUCAAAGAAAUUAAAGUGGGAUUUUCAAAAACUCAAUUGAUUAAUCACUAAUUAAGCAAGCAUCAACUUUAUUAAAAAUUUACUGUAUAUUUAUUUAUAUGAAAAUGUUUACUUGUGCCCUUGAGACAUAAGUUAAGUAAGUAAAUAUAGAAACUUUUUUCUUAAAAGUUGUGCAUUCAAUGCUUUGAAAGUUUUAAAAAUUAUCAUUUAAAUAUUAAAUUUAUUUGUUAUUUCUAUUUUAAGAUCCUUAAUCUGUGCCCUUAGAGUACAAGUUAACAUGCCACUUAUUUGGCUAGAACACGCUCAUUAAUUUUUAUGUGGGAGUGUUUUAGUAAAGCUACUCCUUAGGGUGUAUUUAACCACUUUUUAGUUAUUGAUUUGCUAAAAUACUUCUUCUAAAAAAUAAGUGGGUGUAUUCUAGCAAAUGCCUAUAGGAUUUACUAGAACACACCCACUUGUUUUUUUUAAAAGGUGUGUUAUAGCAACAUAUACCUUAAGGUGUAUUUAUUAACUUUUUAGUUAUAACUUGCUAAAACACUCCCACAUAAAAACUAGUGGGUGUGUUCUAGCAAAACUAUAUAUAUAUAUAUAUGUUACUCCACUUACAUUUGCACCAAUCAUUGUGGCUUGAUCCCACUGAAUUUGAACCACUAGUUGAAAAAACUAAAGAGAGAGGUACACAACAUUCUCACAAAUUGAGUUAAUAUUAUCCAAAACAGUGGGUUAGGAUAACAUAAUUAAUAUUAAUUACGAUAAUAAAAAAAUGAAAAGGAAAAACUCACAUGAUUAGUCAAAUAAAACAUGAUGACAAAGAUGCAUAUCCUUGUUUCUUUAGUUUUUAACUUAUAUAUAUUUUCUUUUUUAGGCUACCAAAAAUACUUGUCACGACAGGGCCUGUUUAUGGAGUGAAGCAUAUUGAUGGAAAAGGUACAAGUGCUUAAGUUGUUGAGUGUUUUCACUCUUUCUAUCUUCAUGAAGGGACAGGUAAUCACGUCGAGGGCAUAGAGAGUGGCAGCGGCGUGAAUAUAGAAAAGCCAAGGUGGCCAAAGAGAGAGAUGAUAAGGUUAGUGAGAGUUUGUUGAGAGAGAAAGAGAAGAAAAUAAAAGAAAGAGAUAAAAAAAUCUUUGAUUUAGCUUUUUUUUUUUUAACUCUAUUGUAAAAAUUAUAAAAAAAAUAUAUUUACUCUAGCUCUAUAUUUUAUUCAAUUGAAUAAACUAUUAAUUUAUUAUCAAAAUUAUCGCUCACAUUUCAAUUUUAUCCCUAAAUUAUGUAAAUAUAUACUAUUGUCCUUAAACAUAUAACUUUUAUCCCAAUUGUUAUAGAUUGUUGUAUACUUUAAUGAUUAAAUUGACGAAUUUCAUAUAAUUUAGGGAUUACUUAUUAUAUUAUAUAAUUUAUGAACUAAAUUGGAGAGACUAUGAUAAUUUAGGGGUUAAAUUAGCGGUUUGUUCUAUUUAAUUUUUUAAAUAUACAAAAAAAAAAAAAUCAAUAUUACAGAUAAUUGUUUUCAUGAUGAUAAUAUUUAGAAUUUAUAAAUUUAUAUUCUUAAUUUUAAAAGUAUAUCAAAUUUGUUCCAUUCUUUUCAAUAAUAAAAAAUUUGUUCCAUUAACACUGUCUAUAGACUUAUAAAAAUAAAAUAAAAAAUUGGAGAUUAUUUUGGUCUCAAUUUGUAAGAGAAAUUUAUAUAUUUUACUUAUUUAUUCCUUAAGGUGGGAUUAAUGAUCAUUUUACAAUUGUUUUAGUGUAAUUUAAACUUUAUCUUUUGAGACUACAAAGUUAAACUCUUAGUUGUAAGUUGACAACUAUAGAAAAAAUGGCUAUAGCGUAUACAUUUGGAUGCUUAAAUGACCUAUUCAAAAAGAAAGAAAAAAAAUCUUAAAUAACAAAUUCCAGAAAUUUGUCAAAAAAAUAUUUUGAAAAACCACAAGGGUUAAUUUUACUCUUUCUUUUCUAAUUAUGAGGAAGGUAAGAGAAAUUACGAGAACAAUGACUUUUUCAGUUUUAAUGGUUCUUAUUAAAAUUGUGUUUGAGAUUAAAUAUGAAUAUCUGUUCUAAUUGAGAAGCUAGCAAUUCAAUUAGAUUCAAUGUUCGAGGAUAAUAUGAGGACAAUUUCAAUAUUUUAAAUGUUAUUUUUUAUUUUUUAUUGAUCAAUUUUAUGUUGAACAAGUAAAGAAUUUUUUUUUACAUUAGACUUAGGUUUUGUUUGGGAGUUUAAAGAAGAUGGGAAGGGAGGGUUUUAUGCGGUGGAAAAUAUAGGGGAAAAUGAAGAACUCUUUUAAAAAAUUGAAGAGUAUCCUUUUAAAGAAUGAUAAAUUAAUUAUUAUAAUUAUUAUAUUUAAAAUAUUAUAAUAACAUAGAUUAUAUUUGAGAAUAUAUGUAAACCCAUCAACAUCUUCAAAAACCUUCUUCCAAUACAAUUUUCAAAUUUUCCCUGAUAAAAAAUGUUUUUGUAAUAUGAAAAAGUUAAUCUCAAAAUUGUCACCUUGAAUGUUCUCUAUUUUUACCAUUUACUCAUUCUUUUUUCCAAAACUCUCCUUUUUUUUAAGAUGAACAAAACCUUAAGUUAUAAUAUCUCACUCUUGUAACAAAUGAGAUAUAAUAAUAGUUAUUAAUUUAAGGAUUAAAAACACAACAUGCAUGAUAAGAUGAUUUAGCAUGUUGAUUGGUUGUCAGACACACAUUUCUUAAGCACCCGCUUCAACAUGUUGGCAAGGACUUUGGAUAUUAGUUUAUACACCACAUUACACGACAAUCCUUCAUUGACUUCUGUUGUUUCCAUUUUAGAAUGACAACAAUGUUGGUUGUGUCUAUUGUAGGGGGAAAUUGAUUUUCAUUUAGCCAAAGUCAACUUUCUUGGAAGAUAUUGGGGUUACAUAUGCUCCAAAGUUGUUGAUAAAAUCCAGGACUAUAGCCAUCUGGUAUGGGGAAUUUAUCAGGGUGCAUAAAGAACAUGGCUUAUUUGAACUCAUGAAUGUGAGUAAGUGUCAUAAGUUCGAUUUGAUCAUUUUCAUCAACUACCGGUGUGAGAGCAUCAAUAACUCGACUAUAUACAAUAUUUUGCCCAUGGAAUAAAUCUUCAAAAUACUCUAUAGAUAAAGGGAACAUACAUGUAUCAUCAGUUAGUAUAGUCUUACCAUCUAUUUCUAAUGAUAUUAUGCGGCUCACUUUCUUUCACAUUGUUUCUCACGCUUGUAAAUUUUUUGUGUUGAGAUCACCAAUCUGAUAUCAGUGUGUUUCAACUUGUUGCAUCCAAUACUUAUCCUCCUGAAUCAACACUUUAUUCAUUUGUUGUCAUAUGGGAAGUAUGUUGUUGGGGGGUUACAAUAAUUACAUUGAUUACGACCAAAAUUCAAUGCCUUGCGACAUUCCUCUACCUCUAUUUUCACUUUGUUGUAGUUGCUUUUGCUCCAUGAACUAAAAUCAUCUGCGCAUAUCUAUAAACAGGGCAUCACUGAAUGAUGGACAUUAAUAUACCAACUCUUUGUAACAACAUCAUAGAACCUAAACUCCACAUUCCAUGUAUUCUCAUAUUUGAACUUUUGGCAAGCUCAACUCUAACUAUCUGUUCUAGAUUCACCAAAAUAGGAUAUUGGUAUGAUUUAUCAGCGACCACAUUUUCUAGUUGUGCAUUGGGGAAGAUCGAGUAUUGGUCGUCAUUAGCAAGAGCUUUAUCCAAUCACUCUCCAACUUCUCUGGAUGUACUAAUAUUCAGAACUUUACAUGGACAUGUACAACCAGGGUUCACUUUCAACAAAAUUACAAAGAAUUACAUACUUUGCAAACUAUAGCUUAUAUAAAUAAUGUGUAAGUAAUUGAAAUACCUCGCCCAACUCAAUUGUAAGUGGUCCUUCAAUGCAUGCUCUGUUAACUACCUUUCUGCAAAUGCAAAAGAUUCAGUCGUUGAAAGGAAAACUCUUCCUGCAAAAAAGAAAGAUAAUGCCAUAAAGCUACUCAGACCAAUACAAUAAUAAUAUUGAUACUAUCAAAACCUCAACUUUCAAGCACAAGAAGAAUUAAAGUUAAAAUAAACAACUUAUUUGCAGCUUACAACGCAAAAUCUUAUCAUGAUAAGCUCUACAUAUGCUAUUUACUAUAAUGAAAGGUAAAUAAAGAUAAAUUGUUUUUGAAUAUACUAUAAGCUGUUUUAAUAAGCAGCAAGGAGAAGUUAUGAAAAUAAGCUGAAAAAGCUUAUGAAAAAUGUCAUAAGUUGUUUUCAUAAAUUCUUCCAAACAGUGUCACAAAAUUUAUGUGAGAAUCGCAUACACGCGCGCAAUAAGGGAGGGGAAAGAAAAACCGAUAAUGAAAAAAAGAAACCCUGAAUGGAGUUUCUUACUGUUUCUGGCGGCCGAUGACCAACUCCGAUGGCAGGUUUUUGGCAGGUCAACGGCGGCGGAGGUGGUGGCGACCGACGGUGGAGGAAAAGCAGAUGAUGAUGGUCGUGGGUUUUGUUUUUAAGUGAAAGUAAGAAGAAGAAAAACCAGAAUGGAACAGAUUUGUUGUUGUUUUGUUUCAUUUGAAUUUUUUUUAAAGGAUGUGCCACAUGGGACAAUAUGACAUAGCGCCCCAUUUAGAGAUGGCAACGGGGCGGGUUUGAGUACCCCAUUCCCACCCUCGCUUCCAUGCAUCCGCCCCCGUCCCCAAACUAUAUUGUGGCUAAAAAUUGAACACCCAACCCGGCCAUCAAUGGAGACGGGUCUCCCGGCCCUGCCCCAUCUCCACCCGGAGAAAAUAAGUUACACCGGAAAGAGUAAGCAUGAAGAAGAAUGCUUCUACUAUGAGCCAUGUUACUGCCCCCUUUCAGGUUGUGACUUUGUUGCAUCAUCAGAAGUGUUGUCAAACCAUUUCAGCUUUAAACACAGGGAUUCUCAAAUCAAAUUUUCGUAUGGCCACUCCUUCAUUGUCUCCUUGAAGUCUAAAGUUGAAACCAUUGUUCUUCAAGAGGAAAAUGAUGGCAAACUAUUUAUUCUCAAUAAUAGUACUAUGAGUUUAGGAAAUGCAGUUAAUAUUUGUUGCAUUGGUCAUAACUCUUUUGAGUCCAAGUAUAGUUAUGAUAUAUUGGCUAGGUCUGAGAUAUGCAAAUUGAAAUUACAGUCUUUUGUGAAAUACUUCUAACGGUUUACUUUAUUAACUCUUUCAUGAGAGUGCCUUGUGAUUCCAUUUGGUUCUUUUGAACCACCUCAUAAGCUAGAUAUUUGCAUAACCCCCAUGGUACCUCCUAUCUCCUUUUCUUUUGAACCACUUUAUUUCAGAGAAAUUUAUGGUUUGGGGAUCAUCCAGUUUGUCAACAGUUCCUAGUCCUCGUUAAUUUGGCUGCGGACAAGGAAGCUACAACAUCUCAGGUAGUUGAACAUGAUAAAGACUGCAGAAUUGAAAUUGGAGUUGGCUUAGAAAUUUGUCACGAGAUGAAGAAGAGCGAAUGGCUGUUCUGAUUGCAGCACUUGCAGCAGUGCAGGUACGGGAAGGUGCGAUGGACGCGUACAAAUGAAUGCUGGACGAGAGUAAAGGGUUCUUGGUAAAAGGUUGUUAUGAACUGCUGUCACAUCUGUGUUUUUCUGCAUAGUUUGAUGCUUAUUUUUUGGCAGCCGUGCAGCACCUGUGGGAUUUGUCAGUGCCGUCAAAAAUCGCUUUAUUUGGUUGGAGACUAUUGCAGGAUAUGCUUCCAGCCCAGAUCGAAUUACGGAGGAGAGGGGUCAUUCACAUUCAUAACUUGCAUCAACAGAGCUGCUUCAUUUUAUGUUUUGAGAAAUUGGAAUCAGCAAGUCAUUAAUUUGCAAAUUCCACAAAGACAUGUGGGAUUAAAUUUUCAAAACGGUUGGAUGGAGUAGUGAAAUAGUUAAUAGUUUUUUUUAUGUUUAAUUCAAUUGUAGCUGAUUCUCUAUAUCAUUGUAGCUGUAAACUGUUUUGGAGCGGCUUUGCACAUCUUGUGCUAGUUUUCUCUCGUGAUCAAUAAAAUUUAUAAAAAUAAAAUAAAAAAUAGCAUUUGUAUUAUUUAUUUUGGUCAACUCUUAAUAAAAUCAAAUUGUCAAAAGUUUUGAUUCCGGAAACAUGGGAAAAGAGACUCUAUGAGAGUGAUGUUGGCGCAUGAGAAGUGCAGCCGUUAUGGUGGAGUAAUGUGGUGGGCUGGUGGCACCGCCAACCACGCCUGCCUGAGAUCAGCGGUUCUAUCGGUGGUACAACACUGAUUGCAAUAAUAUAUAACUUGAGACAAUUUCUUAGAAAGGUUUGCAAAGAAGCUAUCUAACGUCAAUUUAUAAUCAACACAAGCAAUAUUUGUUUAAAUCAAGUCUAAACAUUACUGCCCAUUGUAGAUUGAUUCAUAAGCCUUAAUCAAAUAAAUGAACUAGAGUGGUGAAAAUCAUGAAAAAACAUGAAACAAAAUUGGGAUAAAUUUCUAAAAGGAAAAAAAAAAGGAAAAUAGCUCUAGGGAAAGCAAUAAGCAAUAGCAGUCAACAAACAACUACGGAAAGCAAUCACCAAUUUGAGCACCGAUAUUUCAUCAACAUCAAGUACUUGCUUCUCUGUGCCAUAAUGGGGCUAGACAUGGCAACAAACCCCACCCUCGCCAGAUCCGACCGUCCCCGCUCUGAAUUUAACAGGGAAAAGCCGAUUUAACCGGGUGCGGGUGUGGGGGAAAUUUGGAUUUUUAGUACGGGGGCGGGUCCAGAUGCAGAGAUGCUUACACCCACCCCGCACCCUCCCCCGCCCCGCACCCGCUUUUUAAAAUUUUCUUUGUUAAACUUUAUAAUCUUAUUUUCAUAAGCACCAACCUAUUUUAAUAUAUUAUUACUCUUUAGAAACAUGUUUAUUAUAAUCAUUUUGCUUUUUUGAAAAAAAAAUUAUUAGAUAAAUAAUUAUUCAUAUAAUUAUUGUGUUUUUGUUGGUAGAUUCUAGGGUGAGGUUCUAUUAAGUCCCUCAUCGGUGUACUAUUUGAAUUAGCCGUUAAUGAAAAAAAAAUGUACAUGAUAACUUUAGUCACAAAUAACACAAGAUUAUGCUUUUUCUCUCUAACGCUCCAUGAAACCACCACCGGUUCCAAAUCAUCAUCUUCUCCCAAAUCACAAAAAUUUAAUCCUUCAUUCUCUUUCAGUUUGUUUCCCUUAAAAAAUGACUGGAUUCAAUAAAUUUCGUUUUACCACUCUUAUCUUCCAUUACCCAUCCGUCUUGUAGGCUUCUUUUUUAAUAUUAAUAUAUCUUGUCAAAGUCUUAAAAUUUUGUUAUGGGUACAAUGAAUUUUAAGAAAUUUUCAAUCUUCUCUCAAAAAAAAAUAAAAGAAAUUUUCAAUCUGAAACUGAUUUUAAUGUAAAGUUUUGUGACCAUGGAUACAAUGAAUUAUGUUGGUAGUGCUAAGACAAUCAAAAUCCCUGAUAUGCUAACAUUUAUUAUGGUUGUUUCCAACAUUUUCAAUACGAGAGGAAUUGGGUGAAAGAGGCAUAAUAGAUCAGUUUAAGAGAGAAAAAAAAUGUAGGCUGUGUCGAGUGAAUGGAAAAAGAGCAGCCGCAAGGAGAGUGACUGGCUAUAAAGGGGGAGAGAAAAAGCAUAAUCCAGUGGUUUGUCACUAAAGAUAUCAUGUACCCUUUUUUUAUCUAACAGUCAAUUUAAACGGUACAACGGUGAGGGACUUAAUAGAGCCCUCACCCUAGAAUCCACCGUUUUUGUUGCUAUGAAAAAACGAAAAAAUAUGCAUUUUUUAAAUAUUUUAUAAAAAAAAUAAAGAUUUUGCGCACUACUACAAAAUAUACAUUUAACAUCAAGGGGGUUUUAGUUUUCACAUCAGCACGGAAAAUAUCUAAAUGGAAAGAUACACACUAUGAGUUUUUACAUCAGUUGACAUAAACACAUUAAGGGAAUUCCUAAUAGCAUAUAAUAUUUACAUAAGUACAUAAUUGAAAUGAAGGGAAAAACACGCGGUGGCAUUUUUGCAAUUUAAGUGAAAACUUUGACUAACUUAUUCACAUCAGUGGUUAGAAGUUAGAACUACCUGAAGUCAAAACAAAUUUUCACCCUUAUCGUUUCCUCCAUCUGUAAAACGCAUCACACGUUGUAUCAUUUUCACUCAAUCAAAAAACGCUCGCUUUGCUGUUCAAUCGGAACACUCGCCGUCCAAGCCCUUGGCUGUUCAAUCGAAUCCUCUCAAUCGGUGAGUUCUCUCUCUCUAUCUCUCUGAAUUUUCAAUUGAAACUCUAACCCCUUUGUUGUUAAAAAAAAAAUCGUGAAACCCUAAUCCUUUUCAAACAGUGGAACACGAUUUGAAUAUGAAUUGGGUUUUAUGAGUUUCACGUGUUUGUUGGUUUGUUUGUCAGAUUUGAUGAAAUAAAAAUUUUGUAGCUUAAAUUUUGAACUGGGUGUUCUUAUUGAGGUUCAGUUGUUUGUUAGAUUUGAUGAAGAUACAAUUGUACUUUUUUUUUGCUGCUUGAAUUUUGAAUUGGGUGUUUUUAGGAUUUGUUUAGUUUUAGGUUUCAACCAUAUAAAAUGGUUAGGGAAAAAAGAGUCAACUACUCUGUUUAAUUUUUUUAUCAGUAGCAAUGGAGUUCAAUAUUCUGGGAUUUACAAGUCCACUUGACAUGAAAUUAAGAACAAAAGAAAAAAAAUUAUGCCAUGAAAUUAGGAAUAAGUUUUAGUUCUUUGUACCUUGCUGCAGAUUUGUUACUUAGUUUUAUCAGGACAGAUUUUAAGCCAUUAGUGUAGCUCUAUUAUUGGAAAGUAGUAAUAAGGAAUAGUCUAUAUAAUGUAAAUACAUUGUACAAUUGUCACCAUAUAAUGAUGUUUAAGAUAUUUCCUUUCAACUAACGGUAUAUUUUCCCUAGUAAGUAAUAACAACCAGAGUAGGAGAUGCCUGACAGGACAAGUGACUUGAAAAUGUAACAUAUAUAAUUAAAUUAUUGAAUGAGGAAUUGAGUGUAUUUAAGGUACAUAUGUGAUAUAUUGAGUACUCAGGCUUAAUUUCUCAUGUUUUUUAAGGAUAGAAUAUAAAUAAGCAUUUAAAUAGGUUUUAGAGGAAGACCUAAGAAAACCAUUCGAGAAACCAUUAGAAAAGAUUUAGAGGUCAAUGAGUUGGAUUCAAAUAUGGUUUUUGAUAGAACACUAUGGUGGCAUUUGAUCCAUGUAGCCGACCCCACUUAGUGGGAUAAGGCUUGGUUGUUGUUGUUGUUGUUGUCGUUGUCAGGUAUAACUUCUCAGACAUAACUUCUUCAGGGCACAACUUGAAAUAAAACUAGAAUGCUGGGAUGGUUUAGUUUGAAGCUGUAGCGUUUUAGGACCUUGACACUUGACAUGUUCACUUGUUUAUCAUGUUUGUUUAUCAUAAGAGUGUUAAUUUCUCCUAUUAUAUUUUAAAUAUUUCAAUGUAAUUGUUUUUAUGAUUGAUGAUUUAUUCUGUAACAAAUAUGAUAAAGNNNNNNNNNNNNNNNNNNNNNNNNNNNNNNNNNNNNNNNNNNNNNNNNNNNNNNNNNNNNNNNNNNNNNNNNNNNNNNNNNNNNNNNNNNNNNNNNNNNNGGAUCCUUUGUAGCCAUCAAUGAAGAUACUAGGCUAGUUAACUUCUCUACCUCAGCCCGAAGUGUUGUUACCUCUCCACGAAGCUCGUGGACCUCUUGCUCAAGUCGAUCCAUUUUUCCUGUUUGCACGAGUGUCUGCAUAUGCGAGCCGAACUUGGAUGAAGACAUUGAACUACAUUACUGAUGGAUUGACCUUUUGUUGGUGGAAACAAAAUAUGAGACACGGACUAGAAACUAUGAAUGCAAAAUGAUGCAUGAUAUGCUUAUGCAAAACUAGAUUUUUUUAGAUUUUUUUUUUUUGAAGGACUUAUCAAAGUGAAUUGUAAACAUUGUAGAGGAACAUGGCUUCAUUUUGAACAUUGUAAAGACGUUGCAAACGGUUCCUUUUUCAAAAGGUAAGAACAAAACCAAUCUUAGUUAAGAUUUUUGAAGUUGUAUAUCUUGGUGUUCAUUCUUACAAGGUCCAUAUCCAUAAUGUUUGCAAAAAACUUAUCUAAGUCCUUCAAUUUUUGAUGGAAAAAUAUAUAUAUACGAAUGAAUGCAUGUAUGCAUGGUUAUACUAAAGUACAUUGAAUACAUGAGGAGGUUAAGUUCCACAAUGUUGGAGCCGAGGGCAACAACGCCAUUUGGUAAGGACUAUGGUUUCAAAUGUACCUGUAUCACGGGUUCUACCAAGUUCCCAAAUUACAACUUCCCUUAUGAACAUAUCAGUGCAUAGGACCGCUCCUAGUCCAAUAACAUCCAUAAGUAAGUCUAGUUUGAGUGUAGUAUCGCGUGUCGACCAAAGUCAAGACUGCUCUUGGUUUUGCCACCGCACUACGUCCUAAAAAGGCCAAGAUGGGUUAAGGGUGAUCUAAAGGUCCUCAACGUUUAGCGGACUUCAAAAAUAAUAACGCCAAUCACGACUGCUCAUGACGACAUAUUAUUACUUUUGAAAGACCUACGUUGAGUGGAGUUACAUCACGUGUACACAUAUCGCAGGACCGCUCCUGGUAUGGCACUAUGAUCGUACUCCGCCCUAUCUUAUGUUUCACUCAAGUCCGGGUGUAGGACUUAUCUCACCACUCACGUAACACAGUAUGUAAGCAAAUAUGUACAAAGCAUAAACAAAUAGUACAACACAAAAUAAAUAAAAUAAGGUGGGUUUAACCCGCGUAGAAUUUAAGUCCCCAGUGAAGUCGCCAUUUCUGUGCUCGUGAUUUUCGGAUAUCAAACCAUUAAUUGAUUUGAAUCGUCGAUCUUUGAACUCUCGAUUUUUAUUCGUGGGAAGGAAAAAAAUGAGUAAAAACCCUCAUCGAGACUUUGGAUUCGGGGGUUGGUUAUGCGAAGGGAAGGUGCUAGCACCCUAAGCAUCUACGGUAUUCCGUAGGAACCUCUUACCCUAAAUUAUCUUGUGCUAAAUUCAUUGCUUAUUUGAAAAUUAACUACCUAAAAAUCUAAGUGAAAGAAUGGGGGAAGAAGAAGCAUGUUUUUGGUUAUUUUUAUUUGAUUUGGAAGGAUACAAAUCCCAUGCCUACAUACCCUUGAAGAGAAGGGAUCAAAACCAAUGUAGUUCACCUAAAAAGUUUCUUUUUGGUGGGUUAGGUUGAUUUUAAGAUUUUUUGAAAAUGGUUUUAAGAAAGGAUAAGAGGCCUCGAGGCAUGAGAGAAAAUAAGAUGAGGUUGGUCAAAUUUUAAUUACAAGAAAAUCAAGUCUAUUAUGAAUAUUAAUUCAAUUAAGCAUUUGAUUAAGAAAAUAAAAGGAAAAAAAGGACACUUGGGUUACAAGCCAAGGUUUAUUAAGAAAAUAUUUUUGAACUUUUGACAUAUUUGAUUUUUUUGGGAAAAUGAUUUUUUCUAAACUAACGGUAAAAACUAACAUAACGGCGCAACGUCGCAAGAAAUAAACGUGAAGCGUCGGUGCAAGUGUCGGUGCUUGUGUUACCUACAUUAUUACAUCAAUUCCUAGAUACAUUCUAUGGUCUCAAGAGGAAUAUAAUAACGAGAAAUAAAUAAAAAUGCACAAGAUAAAUUACAUCAAUUUCCUAAUUAUACACACUAAAAAAAAAAAAAAAAAAAAAAAAUUAACGACAAUAAAAUGACAAGAAAUUAAAAUAUGCAUGAGAGGAUUCUAAAUAAAAUAAAAAUGGCAAUUAUAAAAUAAAAACAGUAAAUAAAAGUCAAAACAAACACCAUAUUUUUGUAAGUUUUUUUAGAUAAAUUUUUUUAGCAAAAGGGGUGCAGAAAGUAAAGAACAGAGGUGUGAUUAACAAAACUGUAGUGAAUAAAAAAAAUGGGCUUUAAGCAGAAACGGGUCGUGGGCGGGUCGGUUAGACCCGCCCGGUUCGAAGUCAUAUAAAUAGGGUGUAUGACCCAUUUUCUCUCAUUUUUCCCAUUCAUUUCUCUCUCUUCUUUCUCCUUCUUCUCCGUUCUCUCUCUUUUUCUUUUCUUUUUUCAUGAGUUUUCCGGCGCGGUGGCCGGUGGUGCACCACCGUGCCGGAGUUUUCAAAACACUCCUUUUUCAAAAACAAAUUACCUUUUUAAACAUCCUUUUUUCUCCUCAAUUCAAAUAUCUACUUAGUUUUUACAAACAAACAACCAAAACUUCUAGAUCUAAAUUCAAAUUUUUUAAAAAUCUUUUGAAACAAAACCUACAAACAGUCCGGAUUUGAGCUUCUAUAUAGCAACAAAUAUGAAAUACUACCUUAAAGCCUUGCAAAAAGGAUGGUUCGGUGAGUUCCUCUCCUGCUCCGGUUCGGUUCAGCGCGAGCUUUUCCACUCCGGUUCGUUUCAGCGCGAGCUUUUCCCCUCCGAUUCCGUUUGUACUUUGUUCCGGUUUGGAGGAUCUUGGUUCUGAUCUGAGAUACUAUGACUUAUGGAAAUUCGGGGAUGAGAUUAGGGUUUUGGAUGAUAUGACUGCGGCUGAAAAAGUCUCGGCUGCGUGAACAGUGCCGUUAGGGUUUUCUUUCUUGUUGCUGUUUUUGGUUGUGGAAUUACUCUGUUUUUCUUCUUUGUUUGCGGCUAAGGUUUUUUUCUGUUUGCGGCUGUGGAAGAUUGUCCGUCCUUUCUUCAUUAUGCAGGUUUUAAUUUAUACCACUAGGGUUGAUGGGAAAAAGGAAACAACAUGCUGAAUUUGGAAACAAAAGUUUGACAAUCUGCCUGAAUAUUAGGCGUGUAAAAAAAUAUUUUUGGACCCCUGUUGGGAUUUUUUUUGGACUCAUUGACAUUAUAACACAAAACAGAAAAUAAAUUAAAGUAACUAAUUUUAAAAUCAAAACUAAUAAAAGAGGAAAUUAAAUACCGAAAUAAAAAAUAAAAUAAAGAGAGAAAAGGGUCCGACUCAGAAUAAAAAAUGAGGUACUUCAAAGUAAUCUUUUGUCGAAAUUUCGUCUGAAACGACGAAAAUUUCCGACUUUAAAAAUACGAAUAAAAUGGAUAAGGAUAGAGAAAAGUGGUCAAAAUUUGGGGUAUGACAAUGAAAAAUGCACCAAAUGAAUAUGCAAUAAAAAAGGGGUAAAAACAUGAGAAUUUAUCAAGCACAAUGUGUAAUAAAUGGCCUAUAAUGCAAGCACAAACACAAACCAAAUGAAAACAGCGGCACAACCGUUGAAUUAUCAUCACAUCUAUCAUGAAAAUGCGUUCUAAUUAGCCAUGUUAUGCACUAAAAUUUUUAGGACAAGAAUCAACCUGAAAAACAUGAAAAAGCUAACUAGAGAAGUAAAUUGAACAAGAGACCUAUGCACAUAUUUUUACCAGUUAUUUGCAAGCAAAAUAUCAUUAAAAAUCAUCAAGAAAGUGAUAAAAACAUGUAGUAAUUUUUUAGAAUUUAUGGUAAAAAUCAGAGCAAUCAGAGGUGCAGGCAGUAUGCAAGAAUGGUGUUAAUAGCAGAAAAACAAAGAAACACAACAAGAACUAAGCCCAUACCCAAGCCCAAACGCGCAUAAAACCUGCUAAAGAUGGACUCACAGGAGCCGUUAGAUCAAAGAUCUAACGGCCAGCAAUGAAGGCGCAUGGUGGGAUCACACUAACGCGCGCACAGAGGAUUGAUAGGGGGUAUAUAAGCUUAGCACAACACAGGGAAAUCAUUCUAACCCUAAUUUUCUUCUUUACAGCCGCGGCCAACUUCCUUCUUCUUCAUCCGUAAAAACAAAACUCCAUAACACAAAGCACACACCUUCAAGAUCGUGAUUUAACCACAAAAUACCAGGAAUUUCUUUCAUAAAACAAAACAAACACACAAAACGCAUCCACACAUAUCAGUAACGAUUGGUUUCAGCAAAGGAACAUUCACGGCCAUACAUCACCGGUGACGAGUGCUAGCAUGCAAACAUGUGAUUUUGAUAUGAUGAAAUGAAAUGGACAGCGCAGAUGUGCAUGAACAGCAAGGCCAAUCGCAGAUCUAAACAUUGAAAUUGCAUAACUCAGUUCAGGAGAGUGGUACCUGAGUUGGAUCGGAGGUAUGAUGACGGUUUGCGCGCAAACAGCUUCGAUCUGGCUUGGUUUCUCCGUCGUUGAGCUUUUCAGCUCCGAUGAUGAUUCCGCCGUGAUCUGGAGUUCGUUGUGAACCUUGUGUCUUGAUCUGGACUGCGAAUCUCGUCGUUGAGCUUUAGGCUUCGACGGAGCUUCGCGGUGUCGAGGGCUUCGCCGUCGAGCUUCUUUUUGCUCCGACGUGGUUCUGACGCUGGCGUGGUUCUUCGUCGUUGAGCUUUUAGCUCCGGUGAGGUUCCUGAAUGGCUUCGUUGUUGCUUUGUUUACUUCAAGGAUGAAAAUCCAUCACUCUUCUCCCUUUCUUCUCCUUCGCUAUCGCGCGAAUUUCUUUGAAUCUUGCUGCGUUCUGAGCUUGAUUGUUGAUUUGUUUUGGAUUCUGUUUUGGUACCACUUGAGAUCGUUGCGGUUUUGGUUGUGUUCUUGUUGAAUUCAGUGCCAAGUUUUGCUGGAUUUUGUGGAUUAUGAUCAGUUUCAAUGGUGGAUCGCGGUUGUAACUGCUUCUGCCAUUGAUGAGCUUGAAGCUUUUUCUGUUGAUUCUGUUUUUGAUCUAACAGAAAAGAGAGAGAAAAUAAUUUAUCUGUUUUUGGUGAGUUGGCACUGGCUUUCGAUUAUGUGGCACUGUGAACAGUAUUUAUAGCUGAUGUGUGAGUGAUUGGACCAUUAGAAAGCUGACAUGUGGCAUUGGACUGAAAAAGGGCGCUGCCCUGUAAUUUGACUUGAAGGACCUGUUUGCAAAUUUGAAAAAUAUAUGGAUUGGACUAAAAAAUGAAAGUAAGGACUGAAAUGAAAUUAAAAAUUAUUUGGACAAAAAAUGCAAUUUUGGGACCUCAAUUGAGGGACCAAAAUGCAAUUAAAAAUAAAAUUGAAUAAAAAACGUAAUUUGACCAAACGUAAAGCGAAACAAAAGUAAAAUCGACAAAACGGACUAAAACGAACCAAUGGCCUAAAUGAGGUACUUCAAAGUAACCUCUCUAUGCCAAAAUUUCGUGUGAAAUGACCAAAAUGCCCCUAGGGCUAAAAAUGACCUAAACUGACUCAAACAGACUUGACACUGACUCAGACGCAAGUUUGAAAUGAAUUUCAACAAGGUUUACUGAUGAAAUGUUAAAAAAUUCUGAGAAAGACUCAGAGACAGUCACAAGGAUGAAAAUGGGUCCCACUGCAGGAAAUGACCAAAAUACCCUUCUGUACGACUUUUUGCAAAUUUUGAAAUAAACUGUAGAAAAAGCAAUGUAAUGAUUCAGAGACACUUUUGAAUGACUUAUAAGACAAGUAAAGACAUUUCGAAAGGUUUUAUGCAAGAAAAACAUAGGUAAAAUUGUGAUUGAAAAUACUGCGAGGCAGAGACAAUUUGAACUGUGCAGUUGAAAUUUGAUAAUUGACAAAGUUUGAAAUGAAAUUGGGCCCAGUAUUUUUAGGUCCAAAAACAGGGUAUAACAGACAUGUUUUUUUUAAACAUAAUCAUUCAAAUCACAAAUCAAAAUUGGCGCAAAUUCACACAUUAAUUACACCAACAUUUUUACCAUUAAAGAAAGUAAGAUAUCCCAAUGAAAACUAAUGUCAUCAAAAUACGAACAUACAAACCAGUGUCAUCAAAAUACCAAAACUAAAAAACAAGUCAUAAACAACAAUCUAAAAGUAAUCAUAUUCCUGGUCCUGGUUCUGAUGUUGUUGUUGCCGCCUCCUCGGCCUCUGGCCUUGCCUCUGUGUCAAUAUCGACGCGAUCUGCUCCCUAACAUGGCUCAUGGCCUGAAAUCAUUGCUGAGGGCUCAUGACCUCCUCCUAACCCAUUUGUGCAUCAGCGUAGGCAACAGCGGCACUAACCAUGUCAUAGGUAUCAGGCGAGCUUCUCGCCUCAUACCGCUCUCACUGUUGUGCAAUGAUCUACUCUUCCUCAGAAGAUCUCCUGGAAGAGGUGGAAAAAUCUGAAGGUGAGACAUCGUAGUGUACCAUAACACAUAGUCAUCCCUCAUCCACCAUGUUUCCUCACCUCAAUCGGGCUCCUUGAGCGUGUGAGUGCGGUAGUCAAGGAUUGUCUGCACAAUCUGAGGUGGUCGCAGCUCUACAACAUCCGUCGGAUGUCUAGGGACGGUCUCGACAUAUCCGUACAGCCGCAAAACUCUCUCAGGCAAGUGACGAUACACCCUAAUAACACUGCACAUAACCUAGCCUGAAUAACAUAAAAUCUCCUCAAAACCCUGGAUCUCCCUGUGCUAUUCAUACGACCUUCAGCAUACGUCAUCAAACUGCAAAUAAUCAAGCAAUGACCGAUACAUCACCCCCCUACUCCAUGUCCCUUCAGUAACGUCCACUUCGUUGCAACCGGAUAGUUUUCAAUAUAGUUGGGAUUUGGAUCAACACUGUAAAAGUCAGGAAAAUGCGCCAAAAAAACAUCCGUGCACAAAACAAACAAAUAACAUUUAUAAGUUAUUACGCACGAAAAAUAUAACAAAAAAAUAAAGUUAAGGUUCAAAUGUGACAAUUUCUUACAGUGAGCAGUGUGACGCUUCCCCCAAGAGCUCUGUCUUUAGGCAAACAGGCCUCAACUAAACAGUGGUAUAGGUAUGUCAAUGUCAUCCCUCUCUAAGAAUAAUUACGCAUUCCCGCGUAGCCGUUCUACAUGGUCUUCAGAUAGACCAACUUGAUGUGUUUGUUUCUUUUAUCACCAAACAACAAGCAUCCAACAAGAUAUAGGAGAUAACACUUCACACAAGCAGUUCUAACCCUCUGCAACUCCUCUAAAUCCCCUGGAUCUGCAAAUAUGGUAGCCCUAUCAAGGUACCUCGUAUAAUACUCCCUCAACGACUUAUAACUAAUGUAAUCACCAUUCUCUUCACCGCAAUUUUUCUCUACAUCGACCUGAGACACACCUAAGUGCCUCACCAUCAGUUCCGCUCCCUCAUGUCGAGAAAUCUUCUUCGGAUGGCUCAACAUCCGCCCUUCAAUCGGAAGAUGCGUAAGACUUGUGACAUCAUCCAAAGUAAUAGUCAUCUCCCCCAAGACCAUGUGAAAACUACUCGUCUCGGGGUGUCACCUCUCGCUUAAAGUCAUCAGCAAAGUAUGAGGCACGGUGGUGUAGCCAGAUAAACCAAAUCAUGUAACCUGCUCUCCCUAUGCAGAUGCCAAAACCAAUCUUGAUUAUCGUUUGGACGCUGGAGACUCAAAAUCUUAGCCCCAUGAUUAAUCGAUUUUACAACACGCACCUUACGAACCUGAAAUAAUAGAAAAAUAAACAUAUUUUAAAGAACUUAAACAAUGUAAAUAUUUAACUAAACAAAAUAAAACUUAACACAUGUAAAAAUAAAAAUCACAAAUUUAAAUUGCUACACGUAUUUUUAAUUUAAGACAUAACACAUGUAAAACUUAAAAAAAAUAUAACAAAAACAAUUUAAAACAUAAUUAAACAUAAAGAAAAUAAUUAAAGUUGAUAGAAAGAAAAUAAUUAAACAUAAAUAAAAUAAUUAAACAAAAACACAUAUAAAAGUUGAUAUAAUAAUGGCUUAAUUGCACUUUUGGACCCCUAUCUUUCCAAAAGUUGCGGUUAUGGAACCCUAACUAAUUUAAAUACAAAACAGCCCCCUAUGUUUUGAUUCUUUGGCAGUUUUGGACCCCCAAGGCAAAAAAAAAUAAAAAUGACACGUGACACCUCACUUAGGGUGCCACGUCAGCGUUGCCCGAGUCAACAAUGGACUGGGGGUCCAAAACUGUCAAAGAAUCAAAACAUAGGGGGCUGUUUUGUAUUUAAAUUAGUUAGGGGUCCAAAAGUGCAACUUUUGAAAAGAUAGGGGUCCAAAAGUGCAAUUAAGCCUAUAAUAAUUAAACAAAAACACAUAAAAAAAUUUAAAACAUUUAAAUUGUGUUGCAUAUGAUAAUUUUAGACAAUUAAAAAUAACACUUUCGUUAUUAGAAUUAUACCAAAGUGGCAAUGCCACAUGGUUAGCAUAAGAGUGCAACAGAGAUGUAUUUUUCGGUCCUCCAUGAAAGGGAGGCUGCAAAAGUAACGUCGUUGGGGCAGCCGCUGCUGCAAUGUCAUCCUGGUCUGGUAUAUGUUGCUCUAGUAUAUGCUGCUGGUCAUAGCCACCACCAUCAGUGACAUCGUGGUGUACCUGAUCCUGAUAAUUUAGGUACUCCAACUAGGUCGGGUCAACCACGUGUGACUCUUCAGGUUGUGUAGCCUGAGAAAUCCCUGAACCAUCCCCCCUCCGACCUCUUUCCCUAUUCGAUAUAUGUGCGUUUUUCCUCUCCUUCUGGUGACUUUGUGUCAUAGCACGCCUACCACCAAUUAUCUUAGAUGGAUCAAUCGGCUGCCCCUGGUCUUGAUCAGACAUAUCUGCACAAAAAAUUAAAAAAAAAAUAACAUCAUUCAACUUAUAUGUAAAUAAUCAAACACAUUAAACCUAAACUAAACUAAACAUAAACAUUCACAUUCGGUGAAAAUCAAAACCACAUUAAUUCAACCUAAUUCAAUAUACACUUUAUCAAAGCACAAUAAACAUCAUUUCCAUAACCUAAAAUCAUUCAAUAUAAUCAUCAUUUCAAUAUAAUUUGUGUGCAUCAUUUCCAUCAUAACCUAAACUAACUAAAUAAUCAAUAAUCAAUAUACACUUUAUCAAACUAUAAUUAACAUCAUUUCCAUAACCUAAACUAACUAAAUAAUCAAUAUAAUUAUCAUUGAGGCAUUUUAUCAAACACUUUGUGUGCAAAGUAUCAAACAGAUUCAAAUUGUGUUCAUUUGGCAUCAUUCAAAACCACAUUAUCAUUAAACAUCAUUUAAACAACAUAGGCAACAACUACAUUCAUUUAUCAAUUCAUAAACUACCCAUGCAAUGUUCAAAUUGUCAAUUCAUUCAUAAACCCUAACCACAUGCAAACUACUUAUAUUUUUAAAAAAACUUAAACUAAACAAACUAACAUUAUGAUUAAAAUGAUUGAUGCAACUUACUUGUGAUAAUGUGUGGUUGAUUUGCUUGCAAUUCGUGAAAAUGGCUUUGGUGAGAAUGGGAGAGAAUUUGAGAGAAGUUUGAAGAAAAUUGAAACUGAAAUGGCUUCUCGUGUUUCUAUUCCUGUAUAAACCUGCAUCUGCGCAGUUAACUGCCGAUGGAACCGGUGGUAGUUAACUGCUGAAGUUUUCCUCAGUAGUUAACUGCAGUCGGUUAUAUUUUCCUCGAUAGUUAACUGUAUAAGGGUGUUUUGGUAUUUUACAUGUGUUUUUCAGCCCUAUUAGAUAUGUAUAAAGCAACUUUCAUAUGCUCUUUUGACCAUCAUUGGUGCUGAUUAGAGACGUGCAAAAAGCAAUAAGUGCAUAGACUAUUCUGAUGGACCGAGAAUGGGAAGCCCAACUCAUAUUAUUAUAAGAUGAUUUCUUUUUAAACCCCCUAAUAUCUCUUUUGACCGAAAAAUGUGUUUUAGGAAGUUAUAUCCCCGAUAUGUUAAAAUAAAUAAAAAAAUAUCAAAAUCUUUCUUUUUGACAUCCAUUGUUUUCUAGAAACACAUGGAAAUAACCAAAAAUCCACCGUAAUUAACUACCAUCGAUUUUCUAAUUAUAAGCCAGCGGUAAUUAACUACCAUUGGGGUGUUUUUGGUCAUUUCCUUGUGUUUCUAGGAAACAUUGAAAGUUUAAAAAGCAAUUCUCAAAAUAUCGUAGACAACUUUAUGAGGUCUGAAAAGCCUAGCUCUUUCCCCAAGAUGCAAAGGAGCUAAAUCUUAGGGGGUCAAAAUUGUAGUUUUUACACUUAGGAGGCCAAAAUUGCAAGUUUUUAAAAAUUAAGGGUGGAAAAGUGUGCUUUAACCUUUUUUUUAUUGUUAUUGGUGAUGCAAAAGGUGUUACAAUAAUAUUACAUUUUGCGAUAUUUUCUUAUUGUUACGAUAAUACUAAAAAAUGUAACUAAAUCUCUUUAGUAACAAGGACUUAUCUAACAAUUGUUUAAAUGUUACUAAAUUUAAUCAGUAACAUUUUCCUUGAUUUAGUUACAAAUAUUACUAAAUGUCAUUGUUGUAAUAGUGUCUCUUUCUCGAGAUUUAUCUAGGGGCAACAUUUAUUCAUCUAUUUAAGAGUUACAAAAUUUGAAGUAUUUUUUGUUGUCAAAUGUCAUGCUCCUCCUGCUUCAAUUACUCUUCAUUUUUAUUGGAUUGUCCCUCCUUCUAAUUGGAUUAAGUGAAACUUCGACAGAGCUUCUAGGAGCACUUUUAGGGUUGUUUAGAGAUAGCAAUGGUUCUUUUCAGCAUUAAGCGUGUCUGAUUUCAUCCCUUAGUUGUUUGAAACUAAAAAUAAUCAACUUAAAGAAAACAAAAGCUUCCAUUUGAAUGUGCAUUGUGACCAACUAGAAUUGAGAUCAUUAGAAAAGACUAGUUUUAUUUAACAUGGACAAUAACUUUGUAGAGGAAAAAAAAGUGAACCAAGAGUUUGAAAUAUAACUAUGGAAUGCUAUGAAGUACGGACAUUUUUCGAAUUAGGCGUGUCUCGAUAUCGGAUAUGUGUCAUAUCUGACACGGAUAUAUAUAAUUACACUAAAUUAUAUGAUUUUCUUAAAUUAUUAAUGGUGUCGGCAUGUCAGUGUCUAUGUUGUGUCCGUGUUCGUAUACGUGCUUCAUAGAUCGGAAUGUCUUGACCAAACCAAUCUAUCAAUUACUAGGAUACAAGGUUGUCAAUAUUGAAAAAUGUUAUGAAAUUAAGAAUAUUUCUCAUGAUUACAAUUUUCUUACAAUAAAGUUCCAUAGUUACAAACUUAGUUUUACCUAAAUUUGGUAACAAAUUUUCUUAAUCUACACUUAUCUAAACCAUUUUUGCAAGAACCUUCAUGAUAUCAUCCACAGUUGGCCUAUGCAAUGGAUCAUCUUUCACACAAUCCUUAGCUAAAAAACACAAACAAAGAGCCUCUGGAAGUGAAUAAUCCUUCAAAUUUGGAUCCACAAAAUUCCUUAACCCCUCAAAACAACCACCACCUUCACUACCUUCCCCAAACAAAAAUCCAACACAAUCUUUAACCAAUUUUCCAUCAAACUUUUCUCUUCCUGAUAUCAACUCAAGCAACACAACACCAAAUGCAAAAAUAUCAACCUUUUGUGAAACUGUCCCAUGCAAAAGAUUGUUAGAUACACCCCCCACAUCUGCCAAUUUUCCUCUCCAAUUUUCAGUUACAAAUAUAUUUCUACUAUUCACAUUCAUGUGAGCAUAAGAAGGAAAAGAACAAUAAUGUAAAUAGUAAAGACAUGUUGCUAUGUCAAAUACUAUUUGUGUCCUUCUAUGCCAAUUUAAAGUAUUGCAUGGAUCCAUUAAACAAUCCCUUAAGCAACCAUUUUUAGGUAACUCAAAAACUAAAUAAGACCAUGAAAUUAAAUCACUCUCACCAUAACAAACACCAAUUAAAUUCACAAUAUUAAUGUGAUUGAUUCUUGAAUGUAAAUCAAUUACCUCACUAGUGUCUUCAAAUCUCAUCCUCUUUAUCAUAACCUCAAUACCAUUGAUUAACCCCUUAUAAGCAAAAUCACCAAUCUUGUUCACAUCACUAAAAAAAUUUGUAGCUUUUUCAAUCUCUUCUAUAUGGUAAUUAAGCAAACAAUACUUGAUACCAACAAGAAAAUCAGGAGAUAAGCAUGAAGUUGUAGAGGUUCUUAUUGGUGACCAUAAAGUGGUUGAGUUUGUUGGAUUAAAGGAAUCAAUAACAUCAUCAGUUUUUCUCAAUUUCUUCAUAUAAAAUCCACUUGCAACCAAUGUAAUGAACAAUACAAAACCUAUAAUAGGUCCUGCAAUAUACAAAUUUGAUGGUUGUGUUGAUUCUUGUGUAAACGGAUUUGUUGGAAGAAAAUUAGGAGGUGGCGAAGGAGAAUCUGGAAUGUCGAAUAUUUUGAUUGGACCAUUUGCAUCUCUUAUUGGAAUCAAAACAACCGUCUGAGGAAAAACUGAUGACAAGGGUUGCAAUUGAUUUGCUUCCAAGAAAUCAUCAAGUGAGAUACCAAAUUUUUUACUCAAUUUAUCAAAAUUAUCUCCUUGUAUAAGAGGGUAUGUAACAAAGUACUUUAUUACACCUUUCAUAAUACUAGAGUAAUUUUUUGGACAUGAACAUCUAAGAGGUACAUGAAUAACAUCACCGAAUUUCGGUUCAUUACCUUGAUUUUCGUUUUGAUCGGAAAGUGUGACAUGUUUCAAUAGACCUUCAAAAACCUCACAAGCAAUAUUGGAAAAUGUUGUUGAGCUUUCAAGAUUUUUGUAGCUGAGUUUGGCUUGGUAAAAUUGGUUAGAACAUGUACAUUCAAUAGGAAUAAGAACUUCUUUACCUUGUUUGAGUAUUUGUGAAGAAGAUGUGAGGUUGUUUAUGUGAAGAAUCUCAUUGGUGUUUUUGUUGAAGAGGUUUGAGAUUUGUGAAAUGGUUUGGAAAUUUUGAUUUGCUCUAUAUACUAAGAAUGUUUUGCAUGUGUCAUGUGUUGAAUUGCAAGUGUACCUUGAACCUGGUGAUGUUUCAUUUGAAUAACAAUUAGAACUGUCGUAAGGUUGUUGAGAAUAGCAUGAAUUUAUGCAUAUACAUAUGAUAAACCAAAGAUGAAUCAUGACUUUGUUGUUAUACAUAAGUACAAGAUUAGUUCCCAUGAUUCUAGCUAUGAGUUCUUAAGAGUCACUAGUAAAUAGCAAAGAAUGUAGUGAAAGAUGAACGUAAGGAAGAGUUAGAACUUUGAAGGAUAUAUGUUGUGCUUGAUGCAUAUAUGAAAUGUUUUUGUUUAAAAAAGUAUAGGGUUAAUUAAAUAAAUGGUCCCUAUAAAUAUUUAGAAUUUUAUUUUUAGUCUCUAUAAAAUAAAAUAAAAUAUCAUUUUUUAAUUUUUGUGAAAUUUUCCGUCAGUAUUUUUAAUCCUUAUAAAAUUUUCUAUUAGCAUUUUUAAUCUCUAAAACGCUAAAAGAAAAUGUCCCAAAAAUUAAAAAAUAUGAUUUUAUUUUAUAAGAACUAAAAACUAAAUUUAAAAUAUUUAUAGGAAUCAAUCUUCUUUGAUUAAAAAUACAUCAUGACAUUAUUAUUCUAUAACAAGCAUACAAAGAUGACAUUAGAGAUUGUGACCCUUUGACUAAAAAGAAAUUAUCAAUUUAUCAAUAUGUAUGGUGAGAUGCAUAAAUAUGUAAGAAGCCGGCUGAAAAGCAAAUGGCUACAAAAGCAUAUAUAUAAAAAUAUUGAUGCAUAUAGGGUGAAUUUAAUUUCCUAUAUUAAAGUACUAUAGUGGUUACAUGAUGUUCCAUUUGUUUCCAUUUGUUUCUUACCAAUCAAAUUCAGUAAUAACCUCCAAACAUUAUUAUAUGUGCUCUGUCAGCAAACUAACACUUUCUCCAACUCAGACACAUUGCAGAUUGUCCAUUACUCAAUCAAUAAUAUGUUUAAAUAUUCCAAGAGACCUGGUUGCAAAAAAAAUAAUUAAAGGAUUUGAAUUGUUAGCGGGUAUAUGCCUAUAUGGGCCCUUGCAGUUGGUUUAGUUGCUAUAUAUAAAGAUUAUAAGACUUUUUUAUCUUUUUGAGCAAAAAAAUUAUAAGACUUAUAAAUAAAUAAACAAAAUAUACGAAGUUUUAUUUAUUAUUUUCUGUAAAAAAAAUACAAAGAAUUAUUUUUUUCUCAUAAGCUCCCUUCCAUUUCAUGCACGUCCGAGAAUAAAUGUGGAUACAUUUAUGUAUGUUAAAUGUAUAUAUGCGGGAUCAAGAGUGGCGCGUAGAGGAUAGCUUACAUUGUGCUUAGAGCAAUUACACAAUUGAAUUUGACACAUCAAUUUAACCGAAAACCUUGAAACAUUGUUCAACUUCUACGUUUUUAAGUAAUGUGAGAUUGCCAGGACGACUUUUGACACAAGGAGCCGUUCAAAAUCUUGUUGAACUUUGGUUAUGAUACCGUUGUUGGGUCACAUGGGGAUGUUCGAGGAUCCUCCACAUUAGACCAAGACCAACCACGCAAAUGUGAGAAACAUCACACUUUAACUCAAACGAGUCAUUUCACUUAUAAUUUUUUAACCUCCACUUUUUCAAAUAAUGUGAGACUUCCAACUCACACUAGCUAAACAACAAUACAAACCUUUAACUUAGAGGAAUCUCUAUUCUAAUCUUGUAGAUUAUUGUCAAUUUGAUCCCUUGAAAUUAUUAAUUUUUUAAAGUAGUCAUUUAAAUUAAAAAUCUUUAAUCAUAUUAGUCUUAUUUAGAUCCGUUAAUUUAGUCUCUAAAAUUAUUUGACAAAGACUAAUGUUUUUGAAAAUUUUCAAAUUUAUUCGGUCUCUAAAUUACUUGACAAAGACUAAUGUUUUUGAAAAAUUUUAAAUUUAUUCAGUCUCUAAAUUACUUGACAAAGACUAAAUGUUUUUCAAAAUUUUAAAAUUGAACAGUUGAAGUGGGAGGUGAAUGGACUCAAUUUGAAAAUUUUGGCAUGCAUGGUUGAACAAAGGAAAUGUAGGGUGAGAUUAUAAAUUUGAUUUAGUUCCAAACUUAGAACAAGAAAUUAUGGAAGAGGAUGAAGUGAUUCCUAAUGGGAGGAAACAAAACAGGAUGAAGACUUUAUAAAUUGACAGAUAUUACUUAGUUUUUGUAAUAUAAGAGUUAGUUAAAACUCACAAUCUAUGAGUAGCAUUUGGUCUCAAACUCCUUCAUAAUUUCAAUAACAAGAUUUAUCCUUGACUAGUAUCUCUCAUUUUCUCUCCAAGUUUUUAGAAUCUUCUUCAUCAUGAUGAUUAACUUCAUGUUGGCAUCAAAACUCUUCUAAUCUCUCUUGCAUAUCUCUUAUUCCUCAACCGUGGUUUGUGGUCCUGGCAAUGUCGGCGUUAAUGUGAUUCCUUUGGUAGAACGUAGGCAUGGCAAUGGGGCAGGGUGGGGACGGGUUUUGCCUUCCCCAUCUCCAUCCCCUACUUCCAUAUACUUAGCUGUUACCUUACCCAUACCCAACGGGGAUGAGAAAUUGAAUCUAAUCUCCGUCCCCAAUAAGUUCGGGUAUUCCCACCACAUCCCCGUCCCCGCAGUGAAUCAAUUUUUUUUAAUAAAAAAAGAGUUUUUUUUAAGCUUCAAUGGUAAUGUUAUAAUGCAUUAUCCAACAAUUUGCGCUCAUUUUAACAUUUUGUUACCGAAUAAUUCGGUAGCUCCUUUAACUAUCCGUGAAAGUUCUUAUAUCAUGACAAUUAUCAAACCAAAUAACAUGGCAUAUCAUUAUCAACCCCCUUAACAAAAACAAAAAUAUGACCUUUCUACCUUCGGGUAGGGUUUGGGUAUGGGUUCGGGGUGGGUACAUAUAUCCCCAUUACCUGUCCCGUACCCGUAUUUUGAAAUCGGGAAAAAUCCAAACCCAAUCAAAUCAUGGUUGGUUUGGGCGGGUACCCAUGGGCAUGGGUUUUGUUGUCAUGCCUAGGUAGAAGAUCUUUCUCUAAUUCCUAGUAAUGUUUUACCAUGUUUUUGCUUUCGAAGGACCUUCUUCCAUUGCACUUACACUGGUUUUCAAUCAUUCAAAUUACCAUGCCUGGCAUCGAUUCAUGAGGAGAGCUCUUGGAGGUAAGAACAAAUUUGACUCUGUUGAUGGAUCAAUUCCUAUUCCAACUUAGUUUUAUCCAAGUUUCAAGGCUUGGAAUCAUUGUCAUAUGUACAUUCAAGGAUUAUGAAUAUUGUUGAUGAAUCCAUAACACAAAGCAUUGUUUUCUUAAAAAUGAAAUCGAUGCAUGGAAUAUCUUUGUUUUCUUUGAAUGUUUGAUAAGUGUCAAAUUCUUGAUAAUUUGCAUGGCACUUAUUGACUUGUUUUCCAAGUAAUCUAGGUAAACACAUCUAAUUUACUGUAAAUAUAUAAUAUUAGUAGUUUUAGGCUAAUAUAAGUUGCUUUUACCUACUUCUCUUCAUAUUUUGUAGGUUUUUCAUAUUGAUGACCAAGAAUUGAUAAAGUCAAAUGGAUUAUGAGGCAUAGCACAUUCGCUAGGCAAGCUAAGUGAGAUAGAAGCGAGGAGUUCCAAAGAUUUUUCCGGGGACAUGCAAGAGCAAAUUCACUAGGUGGGCAUCAAUUCGCAUUGCGAUUCAUGGCGUUUUAAUGAUCUGAUUGUAUGAACUGUCGUUUCCCACAAUUUGAAGAAAGCUCGGAUUCACUUGGCGAGCAUCAAUUCGCCCAGCAAAUUCUCAGUUAUUAGAAUCUUAUAAAUAGGUGUCUUAUUUCUCUUUAAGGAUAUCAAUUCCAUAUAAAUUUAUGGAGGACAAAUCUCAUGUACAAAGAUGAACAUAAAAAGAGAGAUAGAGAUAGUGAUAUAGAGGAGAAAGAAAUAGCGACGGAGAACAAGGAAUCAGUUUCGGUGUCUAAACUUUUUUUCUUGUUUCUUGCAGUAAGGUUAUGUAUAACAAAUCCUUUCUAUUGUUGGGAUUAUGUGUAGCUUAUAUGACUAUUUUGAAGAUACUUAAUCUAGAUGAUUAUAUAUAAACUCUAUUUUGUUAUAUUGAUGUGUUUGUUCCAGUUUUUAACACUUUUUUCGAUUUGCAUUCAGAAAAUGAAUUUUUGACUUAGGAAGUGAUAGAUAUAGAAUUUCUCUAAAAGAGACAAAGAACUUCAACGGAAAAUAGAGUGUAGGAUUCCAUAAGAAGUAAAAGACUUCUUAAGUACUAUUUAACGACAUUAUCCAAUUGAGGCAAAAUUUUCAAAUCCAAAUCAAAGAUUCUCAAGGACGAUUUUGAUGAGUUGAAAAUCUACAAACACAUGCUCUAUUAUUUCUCUCCUAUAUAAGGACCUGGGCAGUUUCAAGAAAUUAAGAGAUUAAGAAUUAUUACAAGUGCUAAAACUCUGUCAAAUUCAAAAGUAUUCAAACACUUAAAAAAAUUCUUACAAACUUAGUAUCUUAGAAUUUCUUGUGUGUCAGAAGUUUCUUAAGCUUGAAAUUAGUUUACCACUCUUUAUGUUUGAAAGUGUAAAAACAUAAAAACUAUUUUAUUAAACUCUUAUUGUAUAAGUCGUCUUGUGUGAGGCGAGGAAGUCACUGACUUGUGUGUUGGAACAAUUAUAAUCUUGUGUGAUUAUAGUGAGAGAAAAAAAAAACCUUGGAAAUGCAAGGGGACGGGAAGUAACCUAGGAUUGUGGAGUAAAACAGGAUAAAAAAUUUUGUGUUGUCUCUCUCUAACUCUUAUCUUUCUUCGAUUAUCUUUCUGUUCUGCUUUGUUUAAACUUCUAAAAAUAUUUUCAGAAAAUCCAGCACAAUUCAACCUCCCUUCUUGUGUUUUUCUCACCUUCAUAGUUAACGAAACUUAAUUCCGACAAUACAAUCUCUCUAUUGUUGUUUCACUACUUACAUUACACAUACCAAAGCAUAUGUUUAAAUAAACUCAUUUUCCGUACUCAAAACAGUUUUAAAUUUUUAAACAACUUUGGUAUCGCACGAGUCCAUGUGA